AAACAUUGGUUUAGGCACUUGUAAAAUAGUGUAAUUUUGGAAAAUGGUAGUUGAUUUUGUGAGAAAUUUUGUGCUUAGAACUUGGAAUUUGGUCUCCAAUCCGAAAGUUCCGUGUACAAAAUCAAGCAUGGAUUCCAAAGAGGUCGCACAAAUUUUGGUUUCUCCUUCGAUGGGAGGAACUUCGCAAUGAUUCAGGGUCCCUUCCAUGGCUUUGGCUAGGGAUGAAUCAUCUGAGAACGAGAAGAAUUGAAGAAGGUAAGGCAGUUGUUUCAAUGAAAAUGGAAUGGAAUCUGCUUCUUCUCUAGGCAAAGCCUGAGGAUAAGCUGAAGGAUCUCUCUUGCGAAAAUAAAUCGGCAUCGUUUCGCCAAUCUUUAGAUCCUUCAAGGCCAUCGUUGAAGGGUCCAUGUGAUUCAUGUGGGAUGGUAUUGAAUGAGAAUCAUGAAGAUUCUCCGAAAGCACCUGAGCACACUGUAAAACAGUUGAGCAAUUCAAUAUCACAACAUAGAUGAAAAAUCAACAACACAAGUUCUAUAAAGUGUAAAACUGAAGGAGCAAAAUAUAUCUUUUUGAGUUAUUGCUUUAAGACAACACUUAUGUACAUGUAUUGCAAAGUAAGCCACUUAAUUAGCACACAUUGAGGAUUAUUACCAGAAAGAGUAGAGAAAGAAGGAGGUUCCAAGCUGAAAAUCGUAACCCCAUCUCUUUUCUAUUAUCGAAGUUUGUUAUAUAUUUUAGUAAUCUUUUUUUUUUCAGGGAGAAGAAACACAGAUAACAAGUGAAGCAGAAAGAGAAGAGAUUGUGUGACUGUAUAUGUCAACAACCAAAUGAUGUGUGUUGAUUUUCAAGUGGACAUUUAUAGCCUGCAUAAGCUGAACUUGUUCUACUGUGCUGAUUAAUUGAAUCACAACACAGUUUGAAUAAUGACCUUAAUAGUCCAAUCCAGCAAAGAAUUCAGCACUCCAAUCAUUUGGGGACACACGUAUUGCACCUUCAUCAGGUCUGCGGAUUUUAAUAGUUUUGACUGAGUGAAUGAUUACUUCAAUUGAUAACAUUGCAUAUUAGAUUACCAGACCUAAAAUUGAUUUCUUAUUAAAAAAUUUACUUGCAAUUUGGAAACUCUCUUUGACACAUUAAUUACAGACUCGAAAUCUGUAUCAAUAUUCCCCAUACAUAGACAGAACUGAGCAUAAAAAGUGGGAAGGCAGAUCGUAAACAAAUUCGACAUGGUAGUUUCCAAGGAUGAAUAGCAUUUUUUUCAUUCAAAAAUGGGAUAAUAUAUCCUUCAGUCACGUAAUGUACACUAAGGCGGCGUUUGGUUGGGAGGAGAGAACAAAGAAGAGGAAAGUAAUUUAAAUUUUCUUUUUAUUUUCAUUGUUUGGUUUGAUAAAAUAUAUAAGAAUUUAAUUUCCAUUAGAAUUUAAUAUCCAUCAUAAUUUGAAUUCCACACCAAGUAGUGAAGAAUUUAAAUUCCUCUUAUGUUAGAAACUAAAGUUUCCAAAAUUACCCUUCAACUUGUUUAAUGUCAUUAAUAAUUAUUAUUUAAUAUUAUAAAUGGAUCACCGCCGGAAAGUCGCCGGACUACCGCCGGAAAGUCACUGGAAAGUUACCGGGCCACCUCGGAAUGUUGCCGGAAAGUCACCAGACCACUGCCGAAAGUUGCCGGACGUCGCCAAAAUCCUGCCGAACGUUGCCAUAAGGUAGUUUCCAAGGAUGAAUAGCAUUUUUUUUUCAUUCGAGAAUGGGAUAAUUUAUCCUUCAGUCACGUAAUGUACACUAAAGCUCUUCUCAACCUAGUGUGCGUCGGAUAUGUGAGCGUCGGGGCUCCAAUCUCCCGUACAAUCUUUAAAAUUUUGUUUGGUCAAAUUAACAGGCUGCACUCACUGUAUUUCCAUGGAUCACACUACUUCAACUAAAAGAUAAGAUAAUAAGUAUCUUUAGGAUUUUACUGAAUGAUUUUUAAGUAGUUUUUAUUAAUUAAUUAUUCAAAUUCGAAUUAAAAAAAGACUAAAAAAUUCAUCUGAAUUUUUCUCACUCCCAAUCUUUAAAAAUAAAACAAAUAAUAAGUCAUAUAAACAAUAUUUUAAAUGCAAUUUUCACUUCAAACAUAUUUCAUUUGAAGUUUAAUUAUAUUCUCCGAUGGAACCUGGAUAAGUUGAAAAAAAAUUUAUUAAUAAAAAAAAUGUACAUCUAAUUGUCUAACGAUGGGUCAAGAACAAAAGGUUAAAAGAUAAUAUACGUGGACAUGAUAAUGCAGAAACCGAAAAUCAAAAGGGCACGAGUUUCAAAUGCUAGACAAAUGAAAGAGACGUGUGAUUGCAGGUCGAUUUUCUUCUCAUCACUAGCCACUAGUGUUGUGCGCGGAAUGCGGAAUCAAGCGCACCAAAUAAUUAUUGAAAAAUAAAGGACACAAGAAUUUACGUGGUUCGGUAAUUAAACCUACAUCCACGGAGACAAGAAAGAAUAAUUGUUUAUUUAACAAUUAAUAGAAUACAAUAUUUGAGUAACGAAUCUCACUUCCCAGAAAACCCAAAUAUACCCAGUACUCUCACACUCUGCAAGAAAGAUAAAUUCCCCAGACACACUUCUCUCACUUCUCUCAAAAGCUUAGAAACUUAUAAGCUUGACAAUUUUGGGAUGAUUUCAAAUGAAUGAAAUCCUUAGCUAUUUAUAGACUUGAAGCUAGUAUUAUUCCACCUAACCCAAGUACUAUUUCACCUAACCCAAGCACUAUUCCACCUAACCCAUGCAAAUAUGUCAAUGGUGUCCAUUUGGCAAAUUUGACAAAUUUGCCAACUUUCCAUUUUUUCUUCAAAUGUUUGGUAGCUCUUUGAAAAAUUGCCACAUGCAUGACUUUUCAACAAUUCUCCACCUCGGCGAAAAUUUGUCCAAAUCUGAGCCGACUACCAACGAACCCUCAUCCCCAAAGUGAUCCUUCAAUAAGGAUCCAGAAUGACUGUGUCGAUUCGACUGUCUACGUACCCAAAAUUUGGGAUCAAGCCAACCGUAGUUCAAAAAUUCUCCAAACUCAACGCAUUCGAAGAAUUAGUUUCAAUCCGUAUAAAGAUUUACUCAAUCUGCACACACGAUUUUCCUUUCCAGCAACUCUGAAACCACAAGGCUGAAUCAUAUAGAUUUUCUCCUCUAAAUCUCCAUGUAAGAACGCCGUCUUAACAUCCAACUGAGCUAACUCUAACUCAUAUUCUGCAACUAAGGCAAGUAGGAUACGAAUGGAAGUAUGUUUUACAAUUGGAGAGAAAACUUCAUUGUAGUUCAUACCUUCCUUUUGAGCAAAACCUUUUGCCACGAGCCUUGCCUUGUAUCGAGGAGUUGUUUGAUUCGGAGAUCCUUGCUUUUUGGUGUAGACCCAUUUAUUGCCAAUAGCCCUUUUCCCCUUUGGUAACUUUACAAGUUCCCAAGUCUGGUUUUGAUGGAGAGAUUUCAUCUCUUCCUCCAUGGCUAGCUUCCACUGAUCACUUUCAUUGCUGCGUAAUGCUUCACCGAAAGUAUUGGGGAUGUCAUCAUCAAUAACUGAAAGUGCAUAGGCUACCACCAUAUCUUUAGUAAGCCAUCCGGGUUUUUUUAUCUCUCUUUUUGGCCUCCUUGUUGCUAUAAAAUCAUCAUCAUCUACAUCAUCAAUUGUUUUUUCAUUUUGUGGGACAUCAGAAGAAACAACCUCUUCUUCAACUUUAGGUGUCACCUCCAUAGUUGAACCAUUCUUUGAUGUAGAACUAACUUGUACAUAUGGAGUUGCAUCAAACUCCACCCGCUGCAAUACCUCUGUGGUCUUGUUCUCCACCUGCUGAGAACUUGAAGCUUUUAUCAUUGAAGCUUCAUCAAAUGUGACAUCUCCGCUACACACAAACUUUUUGUCUUCGAGAUCCCAAAGCUUGAAGCCCUUUACUCCACCUUUGAAUCCCACAAAGAUAGAUUUUUUAGCACGAGGAUCCAGUUUACCAUCUUUGACAUGAUAAUAAGCUGGACACCCGAAUACACGAAGGGAAUCAUAGUCUUGUGCAUGCUUUCCAGACCCCAUUUCCAUAUGAGUUUUACCUCCAAUUGCAGCAGAAGGCAACCGAUUUACCAAGUGACUUGCGUAGCUCACAGUUUCAGCCCAAAACUUUUUAUCUAAACCAGCAUUAGAUAACAUACAUCGUACCUUCUCCAGUAAAGUACGAUUCAUACGCUCAGCCACACCGUUCUGUUGCGGAGUAUGUCUCACCGUGAAAUGUCUUUUAAUACCCUCGUUCUGGCAUACUUGCAAGAAUGGAUCAGAAGUAUAUUCACCCCCAUUAUCAGAUCGUAAUACUUUGAUCUUUCUGCCAGUUUGAGUCUCCACCAAUUUCUUCCACUUCACGAAAAUCUUUAGAACCUCAUCCUUUGCUCGCAUGGUGUACACCCAUACACGUCUAGAGAAAUCAUCAACAAAUAUAACAAAAUAAUGGCUUCCACCAAUUGAUGCAGUCUUGGUUGGUCCCCAUACAUCACUAUGAACAUAUUCAAGGAUCUCACGAGUAUCGUGAUUAGCUGUACCAAACUUGACCCUUGUUUUCUUGCCUACUACACAAUGCUCACAGAAAUUUAAUUUACAGGUUUUGGUACCUUUUAAGAGUCCAUGCCUCAUCAGAGUUUGCAAAGACUUCUCUCCUGCAUGUCCCAGUCGUACAUGCCAUAGCUUGGUGGUGUCACUGUGCGCCUCAACAACAUUUGCUUCAUCAGUUGUACCUCUCUUCAAAUAGUACAAAUUGUGACGCCGAACCCCUUGCAGAAUCAUCAUAGCCCCAUGUGUAAACUUCAUUGUGCCAUCUUCAAUGGUAACUUUGUAACCUUUAGCUUCCAAAGCACCCACAGAAAUUAGAUUUUUCUUUAUCUCUGGAACAAAUCUAACCUAUUUGAGUUCUCUGACCAUUCCAUCAAACAUUUUGAGCCGAAUUGUUUCUAUCCCCAUUGUGCGACAAGGUUGAUUAUUCCCCAUCAUAACUGCACCGGAUUCCAGAUUACGAAAAUCCGUAAACCAUUCCUUAAUAGGACACAAAUGAUAGGUUGCUCCAGUAUCAAGUGUCCACUCACUCGAACUAGCCACGUAUGCUGCAGGAGUAAUACUUAGUGAAUAAUCAGAGUUCUCAUCUUUCCGUGCCAUGUUUGCUGCUGCUGGUUUCUUCCCAUCUCUCUUUUGAGCCUUUGGACAAUCUUUUCUCCAAUGACCCUUUUCAUGAAAAAAGGCACACUCAUCUCGAGCUAUAUUUCUGCUUCUUGAUUUGGAUCAAGAAUUCAUUCCACCACGGUUCUUCUGUUUCUCCAUCGCCCAAUCUCUGCUCACCAAAGCUUCAGACGAUGCUCGUUCAGAAUUUUUAUCAUUAUUCUGAAUCUCCAAACUAGUCAAUGCUGUGCAAACAUCUUUAAAGACGAUCACACUCUUCCCAUAUAUCAAAGUAGUCACAAAAUGGCUAUAUUCCUCUGGUAGUGAGUGUAACAGAAUCAUAGCCUUAACUUCAUCUUUAAUAUCUUCAUCAAGAUUCUUCAAAUCAGCAAGUAACUUUUCAAAUCUUGAAACAUGAUCGUGCAUUGACACCCCAGGCUUCAUUCGAAAACCAUAUACUUGGCUCAUUACAUGAAGGCGAUUUUCAGGACUUUUCACCAGGUACUUCUCCUCCAAUGUACGCCACAAAGUCACCGCACACUCCUCAUCUUUCACCAAGUAUUUCACCUCCUUGGUCAAACAAGAUCUGAUAUGACCACAAGUUUUUUCGUUCAUACGAUCCCAAAUUUCUUCAUCAUACAAGUGCCUUUUAUUUUUUAGAACAACAUCGAGAUCGAUUUGAAUAAGGGCAUCCAUAACUUCGCGCCUCCACAUGCCGAAGUUGAUUUUCCCAUCAAACUUUUCAACAUCGAUCUUUUGGCCUCCUAUAACAUGUGCUGAAUAGCGAUUUGAUAAAUCUCGCCUCCCACCUGAAGUGUCUCCUGAAAUAGUCUCGGUAGAUAUCUCCCUAAUUCUGGAAGUUUCACCUUCUACCAUUUUCUCAACGAACUAUUUCCACUUAAAAAACAGUCUCUAUGAUGUUAAUUUCGCGUGAAUAAAUGCACCAGGAAAGUUCCCAGGAAACUGGACGGGAACUCGGUCCCAAUUAAAAACCAGAAUCCUUAGACUCUUAUCGCCUUUUUUGACAGAACUUUCCUAGACAUGCAAAAAUACACACUACUUACAAUAGACUGUCUCCCAAGUACAAAUGGCCGUCUCCACCGUAUUCGUAAAUAGUGCCGUAUAUGUGAACAGUACCGUAUACGUGAACAAUACCGUAUACGUGAACAGUACUGUAUCCCCCAAGUACGAACCGUCGGCUCUGAUACCACUUGUUGUGCGCGGAAUGCGGAAUCAAGCGCACCAAAUAAUUACUGAAAAAUAAAGGACACAAGAAUUUACGUGGUUCGGUAAUUAAACCUACAUCCACGGAGGCAAGAAAGAAUAAUUGUUUAUUUAACAAUUAAUAGAAUACAAUAUUUGAGUAACGAAUCUCACUUCCCAGAAAACCCAAAUAUAUCCAGUACUCUCACACUCUGCAGGAAAGAUAAAUUCCCCAGACACACUUCUCUCAAAAGCUUAGAAACUUAUAAGCUUAACAAUUUUGGGAUGAUUUCAAAUGAAUGAAAUCCUUAGCUAUUUAUAGACUUGAAGCUAGUACUAUUCCACCUAACCCAAGUACUAUUUCACCUAACCCAAGCACUAUUCCACCUAACCCAUGCAAAUAUGUCAAUGGUGUCCAUUUGGUAAAUUUAACAAAUUUACCAACUUUCCAUUUUUUCUUCAAAUGUUUGAUAGCUCUUUGAAAAAUUGCCACAUGCAUGACUUUUCAACAACUAGCACACAUCCCCUUAAUCAAAAUCUUUUUCAAUAUUGUUUAUUAUAUAAAUGGAUAUUGGUAGUGGUUGAACUUCUAUUAUUUAAUUAUGUUGUCAUUUUCCAUCACUACAACAACAGAUGAUUCAAGUAGGAUCGAUCAAUAAUUGUCGCCCAAUGUUUUGUCUUUUUCAUAAUUUAGUUAUUUUUGUUCAUAUGUCUGACGAAGAAGUUUUAAUUUUGCAAGAGGAAUUCAAGUUGAUAAGACCUUGUCGACUUGUCUUCUGCUGAAGAAUCUUGAAUAAUCAUGCCAAAUUCAAAAAGUGGCAAAAGCAAAAGGCUAAGUUCUUAAUGAAUUCAAUAUUAUUACGAAUUUGGUGCUAGCUCAAUCUUGAAAAUGAUCCAAAAAUUAAAAAGUAAACAUAUAAUAAUCACAUCUACAAAUGUACAUUAUUAGUGAGUCAUUGAUGAUAUCCCAUCACGAAUUCAUUAGCUGACUAAUUAAAGAUACCACGAAAAUAUUAUAUCAUUAGCUGGUCUAAAAAAGUAGUCAAUAAGAAAAUGAAAGGUAAAUUCAUAAAUUUCAGCCGGAAUUUUUUUUUUUUUUUUUAAAAGGACCAAUAAUUGUAGGAAAUGGCUAGCUUCUUAUCCUCUUCACAAAAGAUUAAAUCCUCUUGAAAAGGUUUGUUACUGAAAUACAUAUCAUAUUACACCAACACUCUCUAUUACCAUAUGAAUUUAGAUCUUCCCCUAACUUAAUAUUUCAUAUAAUAUUGUAGGAAUAAUCUUCAUCACCGGAGAUUAGGAUCUUCUCCUAACUUAAUAUCUCAUAAGUGUUGUAUGAGAUUAUUUAGCUCAUGUCAUUAUAUUUUUCUAAAGCUAGGAUUUAAUUUACUUUAUACUUUCCUUAUUAAACAUUAAAACCAAUAAUUUUCUAGGCUAAGUAAAACCAUGAAAUUCAAGUGUGCCGCUUUCUAACCAAACUGCUGCUUCUUUCUCUACCGUUUUUUUUUUUUUUUUUGGUCACAAACUUUAAACUGUGGUAUAUAUAAACUUGAGCAAAGAAGCAUUAUUGGUAGGAUUGGCAAUGAGACGGGAUGGGAUGAGAUUUACCAAUCCCACUCCCGUCCCGCAUAUAUAAUUGAGAUAAAAAAAUGUCUCACUCCCAUCCUUCAAUUUUUUUAUGGGACCAAAAUAUAUCCCAAUCCUGUCCCAAAUUGCCAUCCCUAAUUAUUGGCAAUUCAUUCUUUUAAGAAUUGUUUAUGUAAUGGAAUCAGACCAGAACAGAAUGCAUUAUUGUUCGAUAUACGUAGUCUACAAUAACAAUUGAAGACACCUGAAGAUAAUAUCAAUUAUAGACAAUUGUUAUUGCAAUAUAUUCAAUGCAUUGUUGCUAUCGCUUGUCUGCAAUUAAUUUUAUAUAAAUUAAGCUGAUAUAUCUCAUUUCAGUGUACUAAUAAUUAAGUUGAACGUUGAUGCAGCUACUGCUAUUUCCAGGAACACAGCUUUCUAGGAGCCAUUAUUCGUAAUGUGAGAAGGGAGAUUAAUUAUGGCAGUAGCUAUCUAAAGUAAAAUUUUGGAGAUCUUGAAUUCGCAGAAGCAGAAGCAAUGAGAUUUGGGAUCGAAAUAUGCAAACGGCACAGGUCUAUUUCCAUUCAUUAUUGAAUCAGAUACUAAGAAUGUUGUCAAUCUUGCUGCAGCACUUGAAAGUACUAGAAAAGAGAUUCUUUGAGUGAUAUAUCUCUGAUAUUUAAUUGUUGGCUAGACAACUGGCAAUUUCAAAUUUGUAUUCAUUCCUAGAAUAUGUAACGUGGAAGUUCAUAGAUUAGCUAAACUUGCAGUUAGCGAUCAGAAAGCCGUAUUGUUUGGAUUGAGAAUAUUCCUAUAGAUGUAAAAUCUUAUCAUUUUUGAAGAAUUUUUUACUUUGAAAAUAAAAUAAUUAAGGGCCAUCUCUAUCGUUGCGAAUUGUAACUCGUAGACUUUGCGGUCCACAUUAUGAAUUUAAAAUUCUUGCAUGAUUAAUCACCCACAUGAGCAUGCUCCCCCAACCUGCCACAUCAUGUUACCACUUCUUCCAAUCUGUGUAUACACACACACACACACACACACCAGUAUGGCCUCCAUGCAAAUCACAAACGCAGUAUCUAAUAUUGUUUGUCACUGGCAAGAAACAUGAAUAUUAAAGCCUUCUUUGUUCUCUCCACAGUGCUCUCAUUGCUUCUCUUGUUAUGUAUCAUUUGAUCAGUAAUAAUGUUAGGUUAAUCACAAAUUCAUUAUAUAAAAUAUUUUGUACAAAAUUGAUAACACAUAAUGUACAGUAUCGAUGUGAUAAGAACACCACACAACCCGAUCAUUAUUUUAUAUUUCCAUUCAACCAAUACUAUUUUAUCACAUCAGCUUUAAGAGUAGCUUAAUUAUAGCUAGCUCUAGCAUUACUCGUUUUGAUUCAAAUGAUUUUCGAAUUUUUAUCAUUUGCAUGGUCAAUAUAUAGUUCCUCUCUCUUUUUUUUAUUUUUUAUUAAUUGUUUUCCUUGUGUGCAGUUUGCCAACAUGAUAGAUGCAAGAAAAUACCAUGGAGACGAUUGGAGUAUUGUCGUGAAAAAUCAAGACAUGCCUUGGGAAUCAACUCAAGGUCUCAUUCCCGAAGUUCAAGGCCCGACCAUCUCUAAAACCAAAGCCUAUUGCCAUACACAUGAUGAUUCUGAGCACACCAUGGAGAAGCCUUUUGUCAAUAAGAACUUUGAGCUGAUGCCUGAUGUUUCAAUCUAUGACAACGGUAUUAAGCCAACCAAACAAAAGGCUUUUGCCAAGCACUUCGAGUUCUUGCCUGAUGUUUCAAUUUACGACAACGGUAUUAAGCCAACCAAACAAAAGUUCUUCGCCAAGGACUUCGAGCUCAUGCCUGAUGUUUCUAUUUAUGACAAUGGUGUAAAGCUAGCCAAACAAAGGUUCUCCGCCAAGGACUUCGAACUCAUACCUGAUAUUUCAAUUUAUAACAAUGGUGUAGAGCUAGCCAAACAGAAGGCAUUCGCCAAAGGCUUCGAGCUCAUGCCUGAUGUUUCAAUUUAUGACAAUGAUAUUAAACCAACGAAGAAGAGUUCAUAUGCCAAGGACUUUGAGCUGAAGGCUGAUAUUUCAAUUCAUGAACCGACCGAACAAAAAUAGGUAAUUAGCAUUACGGAUCUGCAGCCAGAUGCUACAAUUUAUCAUAAUUAAAUAGAUGAUCAUGCUUGUAAUCAGGCGCAGGAUGGAGUCUCUUACCAUAUUUAAUGUUCUAGAAGAGUAGCCACAUACGUGCAAUAACGCUUUCCUUGUUUGUGUGUGUUGUCAAAAGCGCUGUUUCUAAAGUAAUGUAAUAAGUGCUGAAAUAACCCAUGCAAUAAAAUCAUGUCAUGCGUCUUUAAUUUUUUUUUUCUCUCUCUCUUAAACAAUCUUAUGAUAGAUUAUUUACAAGUUAUAAUUUAUAAAGAGAGAAACUAUAUUAAAAUAAUGCUUUUUACAUAAAUAUUCUAUCCAUUAAUCUCGUAUAGCUAAUUAAGUUUGUUUUUUUUUUUUUUAUUUACAACGACAUCCUUAGAUGUUUAAAUUGUUUUUUUUUUAAAGGUAAAAGGGUUGGGUCAAUCAAAAUUAAUUUUUUCACCCUGAUCUCUUUGAGAUUCGAACUUAGGUGGCUAGCUAACUAAGAUUAUUUGAAACCAUUCGGUUGGGUUUCUAGGGGCCUUGGAUGUUUAAAAUUUGUAUUUUGAAUUGUUAUUCAGAUGGAACAAUAUAAUUAACUUUAAUUUCAAAGUCAAUUUGACCCUAUUUAAUUUUGAGAUGCUGUUACUUUUAAACUAGCUACUUGGGAAAAAAAAAAGUCGUAACCUUAAAAUAAAAAGUGAUACUGUGUGGAAAAUAUGAUUUUAAAUAAUAAUUUUGACAAAAUAGCAAAGAAAUAUUAUUUAAAUUAUUAUUACCAGCCAAACAAAAAUAGGUUUUUUAUUAUACAAAUGCAAGAUCAAAUCAACUUAAUUUUUGAGUUACAACAACUACUACUUACUAAACACUUUGAUGUCAAUACCAAAUAGGCCUCUUUUUUCCUCUCCCUCUCUAAUUUGUAAGACUACCCAACCAUAUAUUGUAUAAUAUUCAAUUAUUAUAUUAACUAGUUUUAUUUUCUUAUGAUCACAUGAUAUCUUUUUUUUUUCAAGAAUCUGAACAGAUAAUGGUUUUAAAGCUCAGAAGUAGAUCUGAUUCUAAAUAUUUGGAAAUUGAAAAAAAAAAAAAACUAAUUCACAUUUGCAGAAGAAGGUAUGUACUUGAUAACUUGAACGCCAUGAUGGUAUAUAAUUAAAUUUAACUAUUGUUAUAUUUUUAUUUAUUAAUCACUAAUUAUUCACGAUGAAUUUUAUUUGAAUAAGUUCAUAUCAUGAUAGAAUCUUAAUUCAAAUACAUAUGAAAAAAAAAAUCUAUGACUGCACUAAUAAGAUAUUUCAUUUAAUCAUGUGAUAUUAAAAUGAAAAUUAUGAUAGAUAAACUUAAAUUUUCCAUUUUCCCCCCUUUAUCAUCUCACAUGGGCCACUUCAAUUCGCUGAAAUCCUGAUGCUUCGGCCUCCAGAUGUAAAAGAACAUGAGUCACAUAUAGUAUUGGUAGAUGCGUGAAUGGAUCACAUCUCACUCAACCAACAAAUUGCAUGUCAUCUGGAAAAUGAUUUAAAUAAAUGAACAAAUACUCAGUCCUCUAUUUUAAGUUAAGUAUUUGUUUAUUCCUUAUAUUUUAAAAAUAUCUCAAAAUAAGUUGUAGUUAAAUAUAUUACAUUCUUAAUCUUGUUUUUGCUUUGCUUUUAUAAUAAUGCCCUUAUAAUAAUAUUCUUGACAUUAAUUAAUUUAUCUAUAAAAUUUUAAUUAGAAAAUUAACCAAUAAUUAUUUAGUAAUAAAUUAACCAAUAAAUAUUAGUACAAAAGAACUAAUAUUUUUUGUACAUGUGCGACAAUCGUGCUAAUAAUUUAUUUAUAAAUAAAAUUAAUAUUAGUCAACUUAAAGUAAUGCUUAUCAUCCUUGCAAUAAUUUUACUAAUAAUUAUUUUAUAAAAAAUUAAUUUACCAAAUUAAUCCUAAAAGUAAAAUAAUAACAUAAAAAAAAAUUACUGUAAAAAUUUUUAUGCUACUUUGAAGGCUAAUUUGAUAAAGAAUGGAACUACUAGCACUCCUUCAAAAUCUUUUUAAGACCCCUUUUUAAAUACACCCAAUCAAAUAAAUGAAAAAUUAUAUCACUUCUAAAAACAACCAUCUUUAUUCCACAAUUGUCCUUCAAUCUUAUCUCUCAUAAAAUGAUAAAAUUACAAAAAUAAAAAUCUUUUUGUGGAUACUAUUGCAAUAAUGAUCAUUAGCAUUCUUCACAAAUUUGAUUAACAAGUAUGGAAUGGUAUGUAACUUUAGAUUUCUAAAUUUUAACUUUUCUUUAUGUUUUGCAACAAAUAUACCUUCUAUUUUAAUAUAUGAUACCUAUUAAUUUAAUUUUUUUCAAAUAACAAAACUCACUUGUUCAAACAAACAAUGAGACCAAAAAAAGCAAGGGAAAAAAAGUGAACAAAUAAAAGGUAGAACUACUUGACACAUAAAAACUUUAAAAAAAAAUGAAAAAGAAGAGAUCUAGUAAAAGAAGUAUGAGUAUAAAAUAAGCCAGGCAAUGAAAGAAUCAUAGCUUUUCGACAAAUUCCAUGUCAAUGUCCUUUUGGAAUAAAUUUUUAAUGUUAUCUAUUUGAAUAAUGAUGGUGGUUGAGUUUCCACUUUCCAUUAUGCUCUCGAAUGUAAGCUUCUGAUGCGUCUUCUAAAAUAAUUCUAGAUAUUUUAUUUUAAAUUUAUUUGAAUUUGUAAGUUACCCUUUUAAUUGCGGUUAUCAUGUAAACAAUUGUUGCCAAAUCAUAAACAAAAUCCUGAGUAGGGACGAUAAUGGGACGGUUUUGAUCGAUGAUCCACUUAAUCUAAAUCUAAAUUUAUCAUAUUUGGAUCAGUAUAAAAUGAAUUUGGAGUGGGUACAUAUGAAUCUAGAUGAGUAAAUUCAAAACAAAUUUAAAGCACGUAUACAAAUCUAACUUAAAAUUCGGAUCCGUAUCCAUAUCUAAUUAGAAAUCUUUUAAUUUUAUUUUAUUUUUAAAAGUAUUAAACUAUCGAUGGUUUAAUACUUUUACAAUCAAAUUAAACUUAUACCUAGCUUACUGAAAUCAAUACCACAUUUAUGAGAUGCAAUAUAUUAUCAGUUUUAUAUGAAAUUCAAAGUAUUAUUUUUAAUUUUAUUUAAGAUGAAUUAUGUGUUUUAGUUGAUAGUAAGACGUUUUUUUCUCAAAUAUUUUUGUGCUCUUAUUAUUCUUAUGAGGCUUGAAAGUUUAAUAAGAUAAAUUUAUUAAUAUUCUAUUAUAAUAUAUAAAAUUUUAAAAUUAAAAUUGAUAAAUCCAAGAUAGAUUUGGAGCAAAUCCGAACCUUUAUUUUAAAUUUGAACUUAAAUAUACAGUAAAAAUCAUAAAUCUAUAAUGAAUUUAGAGUAAAUACAAAUCUCAAUUUUUAUUAUUAAUCAAGAAUUAGAACAGAAUAGAUCCAGCUGAUAUAUAUGUCCCAUUGUCAUCCCUGUGACUGAUGAAAAGAUAUAGGAAAAUAAACAGGAGUUUAAUAAGCUAGACAAUAAAAGAAUCAUAUAUAGCAAUGAUUGAUUCUUUCUUCCUAUCCUUAUGAAAUCUUUCUCAAUGUCUUUUCUACGAAAUCUUUUUUAAUGUCCUUUUCGAAAAUAUCACCCUUCAGCCAAUGACUUUGAGCUGAAGGCUGGUAUUUCAAUUCAUGAACCAACCGAACAAAAAUCGUUUGUCAACAAUAUGGAUCAGCAGCCAGAAGCUACAAUUUAUCAUUAUUAAAUAGGUGAUCAUGCUUGCAACCAGGCGCAGGACAGAGUCUCUGACCAUAUUUAAAUGUUGUAGAAGCGUAGCCAUAUAUAUGAAACGUUUCACUUUGUUUUCGUAUGUUAUCAAAGGCUCAGUUUUAAAAGUAAUAUUGUAAUAAGUAUUGAAGUGUCCCAUGCAAUAAAAUCGAAGUGUCCCAUGCAACAAAAUCAUGUCAUGCGUCUUAAAUUUAUUUUGCCCUCUUAUUUAUCCUAGAUGGUAAAUACUGUUAUGAUAGAUUAUUCAAAAGGUUAUAAGGGGAGAAGAUAAGUUUAUUUUUUUUUGGGGAAAAACAUUUCCUUGCUGAAAAAAGCAAAAAUUUACAUAAGUACUGCAAUGUCUGUGGGCGGCUCUUCCAACUGAAUAAGAUCGUUAAUCAAAGAGAGUGCUAAUUUUGCUAACUGAUAAGAAACUGUAUUACAAUUUCUAAUUUCUGAAAUGAUCCAUUCAAUCUCCUUUCUACUUGAUAAAACGCCCGUAAUUAGAUGGACAAGAUUUACUGAAUCAAAUUCCACAAUAAAAAGAGUUAAGCAUAAAUCUAUCGCCGGCUUGAUGCCUUCUAGGAUAGCUUCAGCCUCUGCAAACUCGAUGUCGCUAAGAAAAGAUUUCUUGUGGCUGAGCCAGCUAUAAAAUCUCCCUUGAAAUUUCCUAUAAUUGCACCCAAACCUGUAAUUCCAUUGGAGAUGUCAAUCGGUGCAUCAACGUUCAAGUUGUACCAAUGAUUAUCCGGUGGAAUCCAACUAACACCCUUCUUGGUUGGAGGGACUAGAAACUCUUGAAUUGGAGAGCCUUGAGCAGCAGUGUACGAAUUCAAAACAGCUUCAGCCUUGCAAAGAACACUCUUUGGGUCCAUCUUUUGAUUCUGAUAGAGCGCUAUGUUCCUAGAAUGCCAAAUAGACCAUGUAAUCAUCCCAAACGAUGGGUAGUCCUCUUUUGACAGCCAAGAUUCCAAAUUCUUUGCAAAGAGAGCAAAAUCCAUAUGAGGGUUAUUCGUUACAUAAGCAGCCAAAGUUGACAACUUCCACACCUUGAUCGCAAACUUAUAGCCAACUAACUCAUGAAAGGUACCCUCAAUAGCACUAAAACAUCGAUGACAAUUUGGAGAAUCCACUACUUUUCAUUUCAAAAGAUUAUUUGAUGUAGAGAGUAUAUUACGUAGAGCUCUCCAAAAAAAAGAUCGACUUUAGAUGGAAUGGAUAAAAGCCAAGCGGGAUACCCCAAUUAGCAUAGCCAAAUGAACUUAGAGGGGGAAUUAGGAUAAGUAAGACUAAGGGCCACUUGUAACCACUCUUAAAAGUUUACAAAUUUAUUUUGUACAAACUGAUUUGACAUUAACUUAUUGAUUAAAUAAAAAUACAACAACAUGUUUUUAUAUUUAAAAUAUAUAUAUUCACAUAUACGAAGGUAUAUACUUGAACAAUAUGAGUAAUACAUGUGAAUUAAAAUCAUCUCCUAAUCUAAGCUCCAUUAAUUAAUUUUAAAAAAAACUUGUCACAUGUUUUUAGUAUAGUGUAUAAUUAUUGUUAUGUUUUUAUUUAUUAAUUUCCAAUUACCUGCUAUAUAUCUUACUCAACAAUGUUUUGAUCAUGAGAGAAUUUUAAUUCAAAUACAUAUGAAAAAAAAAAGAAGAAGAAAUCUGAGACCAUACUAAUAAGAGAUUUCCUUUCAUGUGAUUUUAAGAUCAAAAUUAUGAUAGUAUGCAAACUUGGUUGCGUUUAGUAUUGUUCUUUAAACGAUGUUUUUGUAUUUAUUUUAUAAUAUAGAUAUGAUUAAUAUUUGAUGAAUUUGAAAUUUUGUUUGGUAUAUAGUAUAUAGUAUGAAUUUGACCACUAAAUACUUAAUAAUUAUAUUUAUAUACAAAAUUAAAAAAAAAUAAGGAUUUCUCUACCUUACGUUUAAUGUAAGGUACAUCCCCUUACAAAUUGAGCUAUAAGUCCCACUUGAGCCCACAGCCAAUAGAGAGGUUGUACCUUACAUUAAAUGUAAGUAGAGAUGGCCAAUGGGUCGGGCGGCACAAGGCACAGCACGUGUCCGUACAACAUGGCACGACACGAGCACGUUUCGGUAGGGCACGAAGCACGGCACGGCACGCAAAAAGGCACGUAAUAAGCACGCUUCAUUGAUAGGCUAAGCACGUAGCCCGUGGGCCAAAGUAUAUCAAAAUAAAAAAUUUUAAUGAAAAAUAAAUAUAAAAUAUCAUGAUUUUAUAAAUAUCUUGAAAUUAAAUUUUUUAAUAUAUUUUUUUAGCAUAGGUUUUUUAAAAUUAAUUUAAGUCCUAGUUUAAAUAAAUAUUCUAAUUUUUUAUGUUUAUAAUUUAUUAAAUGGAUAAAUAAAUAUCAUGAUUUUAUAAAUGAUAAAUGAAAAAUUUUACGACAUUAAUAUUUCAUUUAUGAAAUCAUAACUUAGUUAAUAGUUAAUGGAGAUAUGUUUCAUUUGUGAAUGAAAUAUUUUUCAUAUUUAUGCACAAAAAAAUAAAAUUAUGAACAAAAUAUUUUUAUGAUAAAUUAAAAAUUACAUUUUCAUUCAAUGGAGUUUAUGUGCAAUUAUAAUAUUAGUAGCUCAAAUAAAAUUAGAUGUAAUUGUUAUUCUAGAAUUGUAAUUUUAUUUUCAUUAAUUAUUACUAUGAUCUAUGAAAUUAUUAUUAUUAUUGUCGUUGUUGUUGUUGUUAUUAUUAUUAUUAUUAGGCUGGUAGGGUUAAAAAAGCACGCCAGGCACGUGGACUUUUUUAGGCAUACUGGACAUGUGGACAAAGAAAAAAGGUUGGUGGGCUUUUUUUGGGCACGGCCCACGGCACGAGUUUGGACAUGUGGACAAAAAAAAAGUUGGUAUGGGUUUUUUUUAGCACGAACCACGGCACGGUACGGCACGAGUGGGCUCGUGCCGUGGGCCGUGCCGGCUCACGAGCCCGCGUGGGCUGACAUUUUGUGGGCCGUGCCGUGCUGGCCAUCAUUAAAUGUAAGGUAACAGCUCCCAAAAAAUAAAUGAAAGAGAGAGGCAACAUAGCAUAAUACGGGGCCGGACCCACAUCUUCAUAAAACUAUGUCAUAAAAGCAGUGGUAGUUCCUAUGAACAAAGUGAAGAAUAAAGAUUUGAUGCUGUCUAAUUAUCUUCGUUAACAUUGUAAAAUAGAUAUGGUUUGCUUUCAUAAUAAUAAAAAAUGUUACUGUUACUGAGGCUUAUCAAACAUUUUUUUUCUAUUCUUAUAAAAUAGAAAAUGAGUGAUGAAAAACAAUACCAUACAGCCCAAAUUUUUUUCCAUUUUUACCCCUUUAAUCAUAGCCUAUCGGCCUCUCCAAUUAGUUGAAAUCUUGAUGAUUCGACCACAAGUUGUAAGAGAAAUUCUAGAAUAUAUCUAUUGUAUUAUAACUAAUUAAUGCAUGCACGACAUGCGUAAUUGAGUUUAAUACAACCACCACUUGCAUGAUAGUUUACAAAAUAAAUGCACACAUGUCAUGAUAUUAUUUGCUUGUUGUAUGGGUGACAUAGUACAACAGAUGUAUUCUAGAAUUUCUCCAAGUUGUAAAAUACCAUUUGAGUCACAUAUAUUAUUGGUAGAUGAGUAGAUCGCAUCUCCCUCAACCAACGAAUUGCAUGUCAAUGUGAAAAUUGAUUUAACUGUUUAGUCUGUUUUUCAAUGAGACGUAUUUCGUUCAAACUUUUACCUUCAAUCAAUGGGACCGAAGAAAGUAGGAAAAAAAAAAUUAAACAAAUAAAAGGUAGAACUAGUUGACAGACAAAAUUUUAUCAACAUUUUGAAACAACCAACAUUAAAAAGAAAUAAAAAAAUAAAAGAAGAGAUCUAGUAAAAGAAACAUGAGUUUAAUAAUUAAGCUAGAAAAGGAAAGAAUCUUAGUAAGCUUUUCAACAAGAUCCUUUUCAAUGUCCUUUUCGACAAAAUCUUUAUUGUCAAUAUAUUGAAAAAUGAUGGUGGUUGAGUUGUCACUAUGUAUCUCGAAUUUAAGCUUCUGAUACGGUCUUUUAAAAAUAAUUCUGGAUAUUUUAUUUUAAAUGGUAACUUUUAAUAGUGGUUAACUUGUAAACAAUUGUUGCCAAAUCAUAAACAAAAUCUUAUUGUCUCACGGAAAGAUACUGGAAAAUAAUCAUGAGUUUAAUAAGCUAGACAAUGAAAGAAUAAUAUAUACAUGUUAUAUAGUAACGAUUGAUUAUUUCUUCUUACCGCUAAGAAAUCUUUUUCUAUGCCUUUUUCGACAAAAUCUUUAAUGUUAUAUAUUGAAUAAUGAUGGUGAUUAAGUUUCCAUUAUGCAUCUCUCAUGUAAGCCUCAGUCCCUAGAAUUAACUAGCUCUCAGGAUUCCUGCAUCAGUUAACUACAGCUUCCAGGUUUAUCAAUAAUUAUGGUACACCAUCCUCCAAUAUCUGUGCAUAUAUAAUUUUUUAAACAGGAAUUUUGGAGUUUGGAUCAUAUUAAAAUAAAGGAUAAAUUAAAAAAUAAGACAAACACAUACUCUAACAUAUUUUAUUUUAUCAUGUAAUAUAUUGAAUUUCAUAUUUUUCUGUCUUUUUAGCUUGUUAUAACGAUCCUUUAUAAGAAAUUAAAUGUAUCUUGAUUCUCUCCCACACUAACUUUAGAAGAGAAAAUUAUUUAAUUUGCUUUAUUCUUUUACUACUACUGCGUCAAAAUAACCAACAAUUGACGACAACAAUUAUUGAAUAUGUAACAAAUUUACAUACAUUUUGACGACAUCUUUACUUGUUUGUGUUGGCAUCCUUAUUGGCAAAUUACAACAUCGUUCAGUCUUCUUAUAAUUAAGCAAUUGUCUAUGUAACAUAAAUUAUGUAUUAAGAACAUCAAUAUGGCGUGGAGCAUUGCGCAUAGAAGAGAAGAAGUAAAGUCUUAGGCGUCUACUCCAUGUGGGAAACAUGGGAUUAUCACAAAGAGAGAUUUAAAGAUUAUAACAAAAGAGAGAUUUUAACUAACUUGUUAUGGAGGGAUGAGAUAACGAUCAAGUUGGCAUAAUCUGUAGAGAUAACGACGAGUUUGGAAUAAUCAUGUGGUGAUAAUAUUAUGAUAUUCUGCCUUUUGAUCAACUGAGCACGCUCCCUCUCACAACACAACUCUCUUCAUAAGAAUUGGCCAACAUGGAUUGUCACUUUUCAUGUUAAUUUGAUAUUACCUUGAAUGGCAUAUUAAUUUGAUUUGAAAAAAUGGAACGAGAGUAGAGGAAAAAAGGAGAAUGAAAAGAAAUAAGAAAAAAAAUGAUGAAUUUCAUAUAAAAUCAAAUAAUGAAAUAAUAAAAUUGAGGUCGAUUCUCUUUUUUUUCUCUUUUUUCUCUAAUAAAAAUAUAUCAGAUUAAUGACAAAGUAUUGAUAUUUGAUCCCCUCAGUUUCUCUUAUUAUCUCCCACUUCUCUCAUUUUAAUUUGAAAAGUCAAAAAUACCUACCAAAAUAAUUUUAAGUUUUAAAUUUUACCCUUUCUUCUUUCUCUCCUCUCUCUUAUUCUCCCGACUUCCCUUCAUCUUCGUUUUCUUUAAAAAUUGAAGAUUAGUACACUUUCCUUCAUUUUUUGAUCUUUCUGUAUCGAUGAGAGCAAUAAUUGACAUCAUCAAACAAUCCUUUUCUACCCAAAUCAUGAUUAUAAACAAAAGUAAAAAAUAGCAAUAUCAUGAUAUGGAAUCUUGAUCAUAUCUCAUGAUCCCUCUUCAGCUUCUAUGUUAAUCAAAAAGAAAAAAAUAUAAUCGAUUAAAGAUUAAAUUUAAAUUUUAAAAUGUUGUCCUUUUUUUGGGGGGGGGGGGGGGGGGGGAUAAAAAAGAGUUUGAGAUCAAGAUGACAGUGUUGCAUAAAUAAUUAUUAUUAUAAUAAUUAAAGAAACGGCUUGCAUGUCCACUUAUUGCUAAGAAGAGAAGUGGUUCGCGCCGGCCAGUUCCAAGAAGACAAGUGGUGGGUGUCAGUGCAUGGUUAGUAAUUAUUGGGGACUAGAACUGAUUGCCAAGAGUGAGGGUGCAUUUAAUAUUGAGGUUGAGUAACUUUUAAGAUACUGUACUAAAGUGUUUGGUAAACACUAAUUACGGUAGCUUGGAAACUAUGGUGGUAUUUGUUUUUUAACUUAAUGACUUAAAGUGACUUAACUUAAUUAAUUAAGUUAAUUAGAGGUGUUUGUUUUUAUAACUUAAUGAGACUUUUUAGAUAAUUUUGACUUAAUAAAAUAAGCUAAUUUUUUUGGCUUUUUACUUAAUGGAGAAAUCUGAAUUAAGUUAAUUACUUGCUAAUGUCAAAAAUAUCUCUGUUUUAUAAUUUAUUUUUUAUGUCUAUCCCAAAACUCACCCAUAAAUAUUUACCCCACAUAAAAAUAUCCCUGUUUUUUCUUUCUUAUAUUAUAUACGAUAAAAUUUGAAAUUUAUGGUAUUUUAUAUAUUAAAAUUCUAAAAUAAUUAUGUAUUCACUUGAAUAUAGUUUUGCUUAUAAAUGUUAAAAUAUUAUGGUAUUUAAUAUAUUAUUUAUUUGACAUUCAAAUUUAAUAAGGCUACAAAUGUAAAAGUACAUAUUUUCAGCUUUUUAAGUUGAAAAAAACAAACAGCUUAAUACUUAUUUUCCGAGAUUCAUACGAAAAAACAAACAUAUUAUUCAGAUUCAGACAUUCAGAUCUAUUAAGAAUUCAGACUAAUUCAGGUUUAUUCAGAUUUUAGAUAAAAAAAACAAACGCCACCUAUGUUAAUAUGAUUUUUUUCUUAUAUAAUAAAAAAUUUAUUAUAUCUUUAAUAAUUUUGUCAAAAUUAUUAUUUAAAAUUUAUAUAUACUAUAUAUUAUUAAUUUUUGUUUCAUAUUUACAGUUUUUUUUCCAUAGCAGUUAUAACUUAAAAGGUAUAGCACCUCAAUUUCAAACAGGACCUGAAUCUUGUUCAACAAGCAACAGAUUUAGCACCGAUGAGAGAAGAACAAAUAUUAAUUUUAUUUUUUUUAAUGAGGGCAAUUCUGAAUAUAAUUAUAACUAGUAAAAUGGGAGCUAACGAGAUAAAUUGAGAGGUUUAAUAUCUUUACUCUUAAUGAUAAAAAUAACCACAUCGAAGUGCACUGUUAAAUAAAUAAGUGCCAUCACUAUUUAUGCAAUUUACAUGAUAUUAUGAUUAAUCUUGCAUAUGAUUAUUUAUUAAUAAAAAAUAUGUAACAUGUGCUAGCACAUACUAUUUUCCUCUAAAUUUCUUAUACCACAUUUUUUCCUAUAAAUAGAAAGAGGCACACGUCUUCCACGCAAAUCACACAAGUAAGACUUAGUAUAAUUAGAAACAUGAAUCUCAAAGCUUUCUUUGUUCUCUCCGCAGUGCUCUCUUUGCUUCUCUUGGUAUAUAUGCAUCUCUUUUUUAGGAAAAUUUAACAUAAAGGAUACCUAAUUAAGUUAGUUUUGAUGAGAUUCUCUUUAUCAUUUGUUUGAUCUAAUUUUUUUUUUUUCCUCUUGUUCAGUUUGCUAACAGAACAGAGGCCAGAAAAGAUCAGGGAGAAUAUUGGAGAGGCUUCGUCAAAGAUAGCGACGUGCCAGAAUCAAUUCAAAUUCAUGUUCGCCAGGAUCCUGUCUCAACUGCCUCUGAUGCCAAAGCCCACUGCAAAGAACCUGAAGAUUUAGAGCACAAGAGAGAAAAGACUUAUGUCAAGGAUUCUGACGCAACGAUUGAUAUCUUAGUUUAUCACAACAGUAUUAAACCAACUGAACAAAAGUUAUUUGGCAACCACUUCGAAAGCCCGGAUGCUACAAUUUACCACAAUGACAUUAAACCAACAGAACAGAAGUUAUUUGGCAACCACUUCGAGUCAAGCCCGGAUGCUACAAUUUACCACAAUGACAUUAAACCAACAGAACAGAAGUUAUUUACCAACCACUUCGAGUCAAGCCCGGAUGCUACAAUUUACCACAAUGAUAUUAAACCAACAGUACAGAAGUUAUUUGCCAACCACUUCGUGUCAAGCCCGGAUGCUACAAUUUACCACAACGAUAUUAAACCAAUUGAAAUGAUUAAAUCUUUUGUUAGCAAAUUCUUGUCAAACCCUGAUGCUACAAUUUAUCAUGAGUAACCAGACUCUGCUUUCAAUCGUGUGGAGAGAGCCCGUUAUCCAUCUGUAAUAUUUGUGCGUACGUGUGAUGCUCUCUUUCUAUAAAUAAGUUAUGAGGAGUGCGGUUGUUUAAUGCUCUAAGGCACAAGCUUUGUAAGAAAGUGUGUUUUUAUUGUAAAAUUGAAUAAAAAUUUGUGCCAAGUUAAUUAAUUAUCCCUUUUCUAGUGAUUUUUUUUUUUCUAAUGCUUUGAUUAUUUCCACAAAAUCUUUUCGUAAGGAAAGGGCCUAGCUACUUGAAUCAAUUUUCUCCAUUUCAACGUUAUUAGUAUAAUAAUAAUACAAAAAAUCAUUAAUCUCAGUAAUUGAUAAACAAUAUUCUUUGCUAUUAUAUUGAGAAUUAAUUCCUAAUCUGAGAAAAUAAAUUAACAAUUAAAAAAUAAUAAAAGAUCGUGAACUACUUAGAUUUAUGGCCCUCUCACAUGUCGAUGGUACUUUACAUAAUUAGAAGCCUUUUUAUUAAUUUUAACAGACACCAUUCAAUCAACUUUGGUGACAUACUGAUAAUUGAUGCAAAAUUCUAUUUGGGGAAAAAAAAGUAAAAGAAAGAACUCCUAUUUUAGCUCUUAAAUCUUAAUUUUUCAAAUUUUAGAAGGAUUAAUGAUCAACAUUAUUUAGCCUAUUUUAUUUAAUUUAUAACUAUAGAAAUCCUAAAGCUGAUGGAGUAUACUUAAUACCUUAUUUUCCCCAAUCACAACCGUCUAAAUUCCUGAAACAUUUCAUUUCUUAAAUUUCAACGGUACAGAUUAAUUCUCUUACGAAAACUCAGCGACUUAUCCUGGACCGCCGCUACUAAAAUACAUAAGAGUAAAAUACUAUAGUAUUCCGGGACAAAUUUAUUUCUUCCACGACGCAAUAAAAUGCUGCGUCCAAUAACAUUCUGUUUCCUAAAGCUUACCCAAAUCGCAGAUAGGAACAUGGUUUGCAAUAAUUUUUCUAACAGAUCCUGCCAUCAAAUUCGUUAAAAACUGGUUUAAUUUUUAUUAAAUAAUUUUAAGUAAAUUGAAUAAGAUAAAAAAUUUAAAAAGUUAUUAUUUUAUAAUGAAAAAGCUAGAUCAUCCAUACGUAAUAAAAAAUAGUACGCAUUCACAACUUAAUGCAAUAUAAUCUAGACAACCAAAUAUAUUUUAUGUAUUUUUUACAAAUUGCUUUUAGUAUAAGCAAAUAAGGUGGUUGUCUAAACAUUCAUAUUUUUGGAAGGUCUCAAUUUUUAAUAUUUUCUUAAUAAUUUUCUAAUUAAUAAAGAUAUUUUUUUAACUUAUGUAUUGUAGAAAAACCUAUUAGACAUUUUUAUUAUUAACAACUAUACUACAAUUAAGAGUCUUUUUUGUAUAGAAAAUCAAUAUUUGUAACCUUAUUGAUAAAGAGAAAUGAUUAAUAAUAUUUUUAACCAUUAAUUCAUUCAUUAUUAGUUUUCUCAAGAAAAAAAGUUAAAUUCUUUACCUUUUCAUUUUCCUAAAAAAAACUUGAUUAUUUAACAUUGAAAUCUUUGACUUUUAUUAUUCCUUUAGUUUCUAUUAGAACCUUAUAAUAUAAAAAAUCAAUAGAUAAAAAAAAUUUGUUCCUCCUUUCUUUACGAAGAAAAUUAUUAUAUUUAUUGGUUAAUUUAAAAAAGAAAAAUUAGUUUCUUGAAGUAUGAAGACCAUAUCUAUUAUCUGAUAAUCAAUUCAUGAUCUCGACUUUCUAGCUAUAUUCUGUCAUUCUAAAUAUUUUAUUUGAAAAUAAUAUUGUUUUUAUUUAUUUGUUUGUUUGCUUUUUAAGAGUUCUGAUGGAAGUAAAAAAAACAAAUCUUUUUUACUAAUUUUUUAGGUUUUUUUUAAAAGAUUUUUUAAGAUAUUUUUUUAUUACUGUUAAAAUUUAAGAAUUAAAGAUAGAAUGAAUUUUUGAGUCUUUUCAUAUUUCUUUGAGUAUUGAAAUUACAAAAUAAAAUAUGGCCUUACAAAAAAAAAAUUCGCCUAAGACCCCAUAUACUCUAAUGCCGACUCUGGGUGAAAUUAUUGAUUUUAUUAAUAAUAAUAUGAUGUAUACUAACCAAUGUACAAAACAGUAGUGGGUGACAUAAAUUAGAAUUGUGUUGCAAAAACAAGAGGUUUGAGUGAAAAAGAAUUUACAAACUCACAUUACAAUGUUAUAUAGUUGCCAUAUGUCUCACAUUUUCAAAUGAACAAAAUAUAAUAAAUACAGUAUAAUCUUUAUAACUGAAUAUUCAAUAGAUUAAUAAUCUCUACUGUGUAAUAAUUUUUUAUGGUCAUGACUUAGGCCAAUAGGUUAAAUUAAUAAUUGCAAUAAAUUAAUAAGAUGAUAUUUUUUAUGAAAACCCUUAUAUAACUAUGUGGCUCCAUUCAUAUCAAAAUUAAUAAUUUUUUAAAAUUAUAAAUAUAAUUGACAAUAAUUUUUUAUUUAUUAAAAUGUGAGUCGAUUAUUAUCUUGUUCCCUUAUUACUUCUUUUCCUUGAAAUAUAAAUCUAUUUGAAUCUCGUAUCUAAUUUUUCUUAUUACAUCUAAAAGUUUUGGGAUUGAAUUCUUGAAUUAUAAUAAAAAAAAAUUAUGAAGUGCUUUCGUACACAUAACUGGCUCCAAAGCAAUUGUAUCAUUCUCAACUUUUAUCAUCGACAUGAUUUUAAGUGAUGUCAGCAGUGGUUUAAUUUAUUCUAAACUUAAAAUCUCUCAACUUACAUCAUUUUUAUUAUGAUAAUCCAAGAGGUAAUUAAGUAGAUAAAUACAAUACAGUUAUUGUUUUGGUUUAUCUAAUAUCUAUUUAGUAGAUUAAUUCAUAUUCAAUAAAUUAGAUUAGUAAAAUAUAACGAAAUUUUAGUUAAUUAAAUGUACGUUUAUUGAACUAUAAAUGAACUCUAGAAAUUAAUAAAUUAUUAAUUUACUAAUUACAUAAUAAUUCUUUUAAUUAAUAAAAUUUAAAUAGUCCCAAUGUUAUUAAUUCAUAGAAGUUAUAUGAAAUAUGUGUCAACUAUAUAAUAUCGUAGUUUGUAAACAAAACAUAACUCUUUUGUUAAUUGAAUACUAACGUAAUGCUAUAGAAAUAACAUAUGUGACCAAUUUGCAUAAAUGUAUACUCUCUGUAUCUUAUUACAAAUGCUUUAUAAAUCAGUGACUCAGAUGUUAUUAUCUAAACUCGUGGAAGCAUUACUUUUGUCCCUGCCAAUAUCAUUCAGAUAAAUAGUUGUUGUGCGUUCAGAUUCACCAGGAAUGCUUACGCAAAACAUAGACUGAACCCAAGAGCUUCGAAACUCGAAACUGAACCAAAUCAUUCUAAUGGAAGAGAAACGCCGGGAAGCCAGAGCGCAACCGGCGGCUACGAGCUCGGCCGCAGCUGGAGCCGAGUCAGCGGCAUCCGAGCCGGCUUCGCUCGGCGCCGAGCCGGAGCGCACAAAAGGAAAGCCUCGGCGCUCUCAGCGACUAACGCUUCAUCCACGCCGUCGAAGCGCAUGACUCGCGAGAAGAAUUUAGUUGCUCACACUCCGAUCUACAACCAUAACGUUACAUCUUGACAUUUGUAGUAAGAACGUGAGAGGAUACCUGGAGUGUAUUGGGAUUUGGGCGGAAGAGAAAGGAGCCCUUGGAAUUGGGAAACAAAUGAAAUUAUCUGCAUGGUCCUUGUACUCGUGGAGGGACUGUAACUUCUGAACCAACAAUGCUGAAAAUGCAGGGUCAAAAAUCAACAUUAACUUGAUGAAUAAUUGUUUGAAAAAAAAAAAAAGCAAGAAAACUUGAUUAAUAUAAAAGAGAGCAAAGGAGCACAACCAUACAGAAGUUGUAUAAAGGAAUAUUAAUCAAGCUUGAUUAAUAUUCUUCUUCUAUCCAACACCACAAGAUGAAACACAGUAUUCCUGUUGCAGUAUAUGGUGAGAACUGUGAAGUGCAGGAAGUAGUUUCCUAAGAGAGAUGAUUGAAUGCUCUUAAUUUUUUUUUUCAGAAAAUCAUUUUAUUUUUAAUAAAAGUUUAAUUUUUUUUAAUAAAAAUUUUUAUUUAUUUUUUAUUAAGUUGUGUCUCAUAUUUACUAAUAAAGGAAGUUAUUUGGGUAUAUAAGUAGGAUGUCUCAUCUAACAUGCUAGUAGGAUAAAUCUCUCAUCUAAUAUGCUAGUAUUUUGGGUUAAAUACCUAUAAAUUCUAAGCCGAGUCCACAACAGUCCCCAAAAUAACUGGAUUUAAGUCCUAGCUACACCAGUAGAUUGAAUAGAAGUGCAAAUAAGUUUAACUUUUUUGUCAUUCAUUUUAGUCUUUUUUUUUUUUUUUUUUCACAUACAUUGAAAAAGGAUAACUCUGUCGUGAUUGCCAUGGCAGAGCCUAUUUCAAACGAUGGUGUAUGCUAAAGGAAAUUAUCAUGAGAUGAGUGAUAAACCAUACAAUCAGUAGCUACAGCCCACGAUUAAUCAGCCACAUGGCCACAAAUAUUAUUGGCGGCAAAUAUAUCAACAAAAUCACAAUAAAGAUGAGCAUCCUCGAUUCCAUUCCUUAAUGUAAAUAGGACAGCCUGUCUAGCCAUUACUUUAAGAGAUUUGGCUGGCUUUGACACUUGUAUAUAAGCUUGUAACCCUCUCAUUCUUUACAAGAAAUAAGAUAAUAUUUUCAGCUUAAUAAUUCUUUUCAGUGAGAUCAAAGAAAUGUAAAGAGAUAUAGUCACUACUACAAAAAUGUAAAACAAUGACCCAUAUGUUAUGACGGUUCUUCUAAACAACCGUCAUUAAAGAUAUUUAAUGACGGUUAUUAUGUGAACAGUCAUAAUAUAUACCACUUAUAAUGACGGUUAUGUAAUAAAACCGUCAUUAAAUGUCAAAUAAAAUUUACACUUAGUUUUAAUGACGGUUCAUUUAUAAAAACCGUCAUUAAAAGUCACUAUUUUUAAUGACGGUUCUUAUAUACAACGGUCAUUAUAUGUGUAGUUAAAAAUAAUAUUACUUUUAAUGACGGUUUUUUAAUAACCGUCAUUAAAAAUAAUAAUUUUUAAUCACGGUUUUUACAUAUAACGGUCAUUAUAUGUGUAAUUAAAAUAGUACUACCUUUAAUGACGGUUUUAAAAAAACCGUCAUUAAUAAUUUUUAAUGACGAUUUUUACAUUAAACGGUCAUUAUAUGUGUAAUUAAAAUAAUACUACCUUUAAUGACGGUUUUGUUAAGAACCGUCAUUAAAAAUAAAUUUAUUUUUAAUGACGGUUCUUAACAAAACCGUCAUUAAAAAUCAUACUUUUUAAUGACCGUUAUAUAUUAUAACGGUCAUUAUAUAUAUAAUUAAAAUGCUUUUAAUUUUAAUGACGGUUCUUUAAGAACCGUCAUUAAAAAUUGACAUUUUUAGUGACAGUUGUAUAAAACAACCGUCAUCGUAUAUAUUGAUAUAGUUAUAAAAAAAAAAAAAAAAUUGGCCUUAUACUGAACACCAAAUCCCUAAAAUUACAGAUAAUUUGUAAACAUUAAAAGUAAUGGCGCAAGCACGCACGCCGCCGGUACACUUAGCCCAUGCAGCAGCAACCGAGCACGGUAGCAACAGGCCACCAGCAGUCGCUCUCUCUCUCACGCACACGCAGCAGCAAGCCAACACCAAUAGCCCCUCUUUCUCAUGCUCACUCUCUACUAUGCCCUCUUACGUACUCAAGAAAACUCUAACCCAUAUCCAAACCCUCGCCGUCGAAGAAAACCCAAUCCUUAAUGGCUUGAAAUUAAAGCCUCCACCGUCAAUCACCAUCGAACCAAAUAAACUCUAGCCUUACCAUCACUCUUCGUUUGACUCGCUGAAGAAAGCACUCUAUUAGGUGAGUCUCUGUUGUUUGAUAAUAUAUCUGCACUCUUUGUUGGCCGAAGCUUUUAGACAAUUGCUUUGAUUCAAUUGCUUCGAUUGGUUAGUUCUCUGUGAUUAAUUAGUUAGUUACUUUUAAUUUCAUAUUUUCAUCUCUAACAGUGAAUUUGGGAGUCGAUUUCUCUGUCGGAUUUGUAAUUUUUGCUACAGAUCAAAAACAUCUUGAAGGUGUUUUCAUAUCUAACAACUUGAACUAUCAUUUAUUUUGUCUUGUUAAUGUUCAAUUUUUUUUUCUUUUUUUAUUAGUAUGACAAUUAGUCGAAUGUGCUUGCACAUAAAACAAUCUUUUAACUUGGCGUUGGAAUAUUUGUUUUGAGUUGUGUCCCCUUAAUCAAUGACCAUACAAAAGUUCCCCAUGAUAAAGUGUUUAGCCCUAUUAAUGCCAUAAAGUCUUGCUCUCAAUUUUUCUGAUUAUGCCUAUGGAUUGAUUACCUAUUUCAUUUACAAAUUCAAUUGGCAAAUGUACAAUGCCUGCAUGACACUCACAUUUGGGUUAUGAUGGUAGUCAUUAUGAGGAAGAAUGUUAGAAUAACAUCAGGGGAAACAUCUGGGAGAAGGUAUGUACUGUCAAGCUCUUUGUUAGAAUCAUCACGAAAUUUAUAUUGGAUCUUGGCUGUUCUAUGUGAUGCAUUUUGGAUUUGCUCUUACUAGACAUGCAAAAACCUGUAAAAUGUAUUUUUUUUUUCCAUUUUAGAUUUACUAUCUAGUAUCUUGUAGGUUUAAUCUAAAAUAGAAACCAUUGAGGAUACUGGACACAAUUCUAAUGAAGAGAAAAGAUGUUAGACUUUAGUAUUCAACCUUUUUUUUUUAGCCAUAUUUCUAGACCCCAAGUUUAUGUCAUGAUAAUUGUGUGAUUGAUAAGAUAUUUUGGUUUUGGACUUUAUCUCAUGGAUUUAGAGUUCGAUUAUAUUUGGAAGUGGAAUAAUGCAUUCAUUUACAUAUGAUGUUUGAUGAAGUUCCCAUAAAAUUAAUUCAAUUAUAUAUGUUUAUGGUUCUAAGGAAGCGGGGCAAAAAUUUUAUCAGUGGGUUGAUUUCACUAGUUUAAGUUAGUAAAGCAAAGAAAUUGUCUUUAUGCACUUUAACUUUCCUCCAUUUAAGGUGAAAAAAUUAUUGAAGCUUUUAGAAGUGAAUUGUUCAUUUUGUUUGUGCACUUAUGCAGAUGGAUUUACUUUUGGCUGCUUAACCCUUCCUCACUUAUAUUUUUUCAGUUUAAAUUGCAGUGUUUUGCUGCUGUGCAACAGCACAAGAGGCUGUUUUAUUGUUGUUUCUGUAAAAACACAGCACCAGGAAGCGUCCAGGUAAUGUUUCGCUGCUGUUAUGCAGUAAAAACAACACCUGAAAGUUUCUAGGUGCUAUUUUUACUGCUGUUUACGCAGAAACACAGCACCUAAAAGUGUCUCUAGGUUCUGUUUAGCUGCUAUUAUGCAGCAAAAACAGCACCUGGAAACUUCCAAGUGCUGUUUUUAUUGCAUUUUAUGCAGAAACAAAGCACCUAGAAGCAUUCAAGGGUUGCUUUACUGUUGUUUUGUAUUUAAAAUUGCUGUUAGAAAUUUUGGGUGCUAUUUCUCUGAAAUUUUGCUAUUAACAGUGCAGCUUAAUAAUUUCAUAUGUCGUUUUGAACCUUCUUCAGUUCUUUUCUCUUAUGUCUAUACUUAAUCUUUUCCCCCCUGGUAAUAAGCAGGUACAAUUUUUGCAAGGUAAUAUCUAAGCAUGCUGUUAAUUCUUUGGUUGAGACGUAGUAUUCUAAACUUCAGGCCUUAAUUUUUUUAUUUCCAAGUGUAUAAUGGGUAGGUACUGGAUCUCUUAUGGAUGAUGUAGUUAAUGCUUUUUUAUUGUCUCUAUUUUGGCAAAUGUGUUGUCAUUUAUUAUCUGAACACAUGGUUGAUUAACUUACUUGAGGUAAGUCUAUUAAUUAAUAGUGAUAUGAUACUUUAAAGUCUUGUUUUACAACUUAAGUCACUAAAAUGAUUUAAUAUUUAUGAUUUAUAAUAUAUGAAUAUAUCUUAAUUUCUCUUUAUUCUUUGUAAGAAUGAUGUAGAUUGCUGAAGCUGGUGAGAUUCAUUUGCAAUUGAAGACUUGAUGAGAAAUUAGAUGUACUCACACAUGCCAAUCUUGUUGGUUGCUAGUGCAUUCACUAGUAGAAGUUUAAUGAUUGUUGGAGAUUUUUGUAGAGCUAUCUCUUUGUAAAUGAAACAUUUGCAUCAUUUUGAAUAUGAAACAUUUGUGAAAAAUAAUUGUAAAGAAUUUAAUAUGAAAUUAGAAUUAAAAUAGGGGCUUGAAAUAGCCUUAAAUUUGCCAAAUUUAUUUUUUUAAUAAUAAAUAACAAAGAUGACGGUUAUUUCAAAAGAACCGUCAUCAAAUGUAGUGUUCUAUAACAAAUAUGACGGUUUUCUUCUAAAACCGUCAUUAAAUGUUGUUUCAAUAUUUAAUGACGGUUCUUACAAUAAACCGUCAUUAAAAUGACACAUUUAAUGACGAUUAUUUAGAUAAACCGUCAUUAAAGAUAGAUAUUUAAUGACGGUUCUUACAAUAAACCGUCAUUAAAAUGACACAUUUAAUGACGGUUAUUUAAAUAACCGUAAUUAAAAAUAUACAUUUAAUGACGGUUAGUGAACCGUCAUAAAAAACAUACCCUCUUUAAUGUCGGUGCCUAAGAUGACGGUUUUAAAACCGUCAUCUUAUGUCGUUUAAAACCGUCAUAAAAGACCAAUUUUGUAGUAGUGAGUCUAUUAGGUUGGCAAAUCUACUGAAACAAUAUUGUUUCCUAUCAACUCCGAAAUACAACCAAUUGAACAACGUUCAGAAAUCGAAAAUCAUUUAUUACCAGUAAGAUUUAUUAUUAUACGCUAUACAUAUGGCUUUAACAGUCACAUUACCAAUACAUUUUUAAUCAUGGUAGGUAGGUGCUGGAAUGUAUACAAUAUUAUCAGCCUGGAAGAAAUGGCAGACAUGGGAGCUCCCUGGCUCGAUCCCAAGCACACGAAACGAUGCAUGAUCUCGACUCCAAUGAGACGUAUCCAUGUGGCAAACUGCUACAGCUUCCACUCUAUCUCCAUUAUCACCACCUAAUGAAACACCGAAUAACUUGUUCUCAGUCAUUUGGCUGUGGCAGUAGAAGAUUGCAUAAGGGUAAGGCAUGAUAUGACAUGCCACCAUCUUGGGAGCAACCAUUGGUUUAGGCACUUGUAAAAUAGUGUAAUUUUGGAAAAUGGUAGCUGAUUUUGUGAGAAAUUUUGUGCUUAGAACUUCGAAUUUGGUCUCCAAUCCGAAAGUUCCGUGUACAAAAUCAAGCAUGGAUUCCAAAGAGGUAGCACAAAUUUUGGUUUCUCCUUCGAUGGGAGGAACUUCGCAAUGAUUCAGGGUCCCUUCCAUGGCUUUGGCUAGGGGUGAGUCAUCUGAGAACGAGAAGAAUUGAAGAAGGUAAGGCAGUUGUUUCAAUGAAAAUGGAAUGGAAUCUGCUUCUUCUCUAGGCAAAGCCUGAGGAUAAGCUGAAGGAUCUCUCUUGCGAAAAAUAAAUCGGCAUCGUUUCGCCAAUCUUUAGAUCCUUCAAGGUGAAGAACACCAUCGUUGAAGGGUCCAUGUGAUUCAUGUGGGAUGGUAUUGAAUGAGAAUCAUGAAGAUUCUCCGAAAGCACCUGAGCACACUGUAAAACAGUUGAGCAAUUCAAUAUGACAACAUAGAUGAAAAAUCAACAACACAAGUUCUAUAAAGUGUAAAACUGAAGGAGCAAAAUAUAUCUUUUUGAGUUAUUGCUUUAAGACAACACUUAUGUACAUCUAUUGCAAAGUAAGCACUUCCUUAGCACACAUUGAGGAUUAUUACCAGAAAGAGUAGAGAAAGAAGGAGGUUCCAAACUGAAAAUCUUAACCCCAUCUCUUUUCUAUUAUCGAAGUUUCUUAUGUAUUUUAGUAAUCUUUUUGUUUUUUUUUUUAAGGGAGAGGAAACACAGAUAACAAGUGAAGCAGAAAGAGAAGAGAUUGUGUAACUGUAUAUGUCAACAACCAAAUGAUGUGUGUUAAUUUUCAAGUGGAAAUUUAUAGCCUGCAUAAGCUGAACUUGUUCUACUGUGCUGAUUAAUUGAAUCACAACACAGUUUGAAUAAUGACCUUAAUAGUCCAAUCCAGCAAAGAAUUCAGCACUCCAAUCAUUUGGGGACACACGUAUUGCACCUUCAUCAGGUCUGCGGAUUUUAAUAGUUUUGACUGAGUGAAUGAUUACUUCAAUUGAUAACAUUGCAUAUUAGAUUACCAGACCUAAAAUUGAUUUCUUAUUAAAAAAUUUACUUGCAAUUUGGAAACUCUCUUUGACACAUUAAUUACAGACUCGAAAUCUGUAUCAAUAUUCCCCAUACAUAGACAGAACUGAGCAUAAAAAGUGGGAAGGCAGAUCGUAAACAAAUUCGACAUGGUAGUUUCCAAGGAUGAAUAGCAUUUUUUUCAUUCAAAAAUGGGAUAAUAUAUCCUUCAGUCACGUAAUGUACACUAAGGCGGCGUUUGGUUGGGAGGAGAGAACAAAGAAGAGGAAAGUAAUUUAAAUUUUCUUUUUAUUUUCAUUGUUUGGUUUGAUAAAAUAUAUAAGAAUUUAAUUUCCAUUAGAAUUUAAUAUCCAUCAUAAUUUGAAUUCCACACCAAGUAGUGAAGAAUUUAAAUUCCUCUUAUGUUAGAAACUAAAGUUUCCAAAAUUACCCUUCAACUUGUUUAAUGUCAUUAAUAAUUAUUAUUUAAUAUUAUAAAUGGAUCACCGCCGGAAAGUCGCCGGACUACCGCCGGAAAGUCACUGGAAAGUUACCGGGCCACCUCGGAAUGUUGCCGGAAAGUCACCAGACCACUGCCGAAAGUUGCCGGACGUCGCCAAAAUCCUGCCGAACGUUGCCAUAAGGUAGUUUCCAAGGAUGAAUAGCAUUUUUUUUUCAUUCGAGAAUGGGAUAAUUUAUCCUUCAGUCACGUAAUGUACACUAAAGCUCUUCUCAACCUAGUGUGCGUCGGAUAUGUGAGCGUCGGGGCUCCAAUCUCCCGUACAAUCUUUAAAAUUUUGUUUGGUCAAAUUAACAGGCUGCACUCACUGUAUUUCCAUGGAUCACACUACUUCAACUAAAAGAUAAGAUAAUAAGUAUCUUUAGGAUUUUACUGAAUGAUUUUUAAGUAGUUUUUAUUAAUUAAUUAUUCAAAUUCGAAUUAAAAAAAGACUAAAAAAUUCAUCUGAAUUUUUCUCACUCCCAAUCUUUAAAAAUAAAACAAAUAAUAAGUCAUAUAAACAAUAUUUUAAAUGCAAUUUUCACUUCAAACAUAUUUCAUUUGAAGUUUAAUUAUAUUCUCCGAUGGAACCUGGAUAAGUUGAAAAAAAAUUUAUUAAUAAAAAAAAUGUACAUCUAAUUGUCUAACGAUGGGUCAAGAACAAAAGGUUAAAAGAUAAUAUACGUGGACAUGAUAAUGCAGAAACCGAAAAUCAAAAGGGCACGAGUUUCAAAUGCUAGACAAAUGAAAGAGACGUGUGAUUGCAGGUCGAUUUUCUUCUCAUCACUAGCCACUAGUGUUGUGCGCGGAAUGCGGAAUCAAGCGCACCAAAUAAUUAUUGAAAAAUAAAGGACACAAGAAUUUACGUGGUUCGGUAAUUAAACCUACAUCCACGGAGACAAGAAAGAAUAAUUGUUUAUUUAACAAUUAAUAGAAUACAAUAUUUGAGUAACGAAUCUCACUUCCCAGAAAACCCAAAUAUACCCAGUACUCUCACACUCUGCAAGAAAGAUAAAUUCCCCAGACACACUUCUCUCACUUCUCUCAAAAGCUUAGAAACUUAUAAGCUUGACAAUUUUGGGAUGAUUUCAAAUGAAUGAAAUCCUUAGCUAUUUAUAGACUUGAAGCUAGUAUUAUUCCACCUAACCCAAGUACUAUUUCACCUAACCCAAGCACUAUUCCACCUAACCCAUGCAAAUAUGUCAAUGGUGUCCAUUUGGCAAAUUUGACAAAUUUGCCAACUUUCCAUUUUUUCUUCAAAUGUUUGGUAGCUCUUUGAAAAAUUGCCACAUGCAUGACUUUUCAACAAUUCUCCACCUCGGCGAAAAUUUGUCCAAAUCUGAGCCGACUACCAACGAACCCUCAUCCCCAAAGUGAUCCUUCAAUAAGGAUCCAGAAUGACUGUGUCGAUUCGACUGUCUACGUACCCAAAAUUUGGGAUCAAGCCAACCGUAGUUCAAAAAUUCUCCAAACUCAACGCAUUCGAAGAAUUAGUUUCAAUCCGUAUAAAGAUUUACUCAAUCUGCACACACGAUUUUCCUUUCCAGCAACUCUGAAACCACAAGGCUGAAUCAUAUAGAUUUUCUCCUCUAAAUCUCCAUGUAAGAACGCCGUCUUAACAUCCAACUGAGCUAACUCUAACUCAUAUUCUGCAACUAAGGCAAGUAGGAUACGAAUGGAAGUAUGUUUUACAAUUGGAGAGAAAACUUCAUUGUAGUCCAUACCUUCCUUUUGAGCAAAACCUUUUGCCACGAGCCUUGCCUUGUAUCGAGGAGUUGUUUGAUUCGGAGAUCCUUGCUUUUUGGUGUAGACCCAUUUAUUGCCAAUAGCCCUUUUCCCCUUUGGUAACUUUACAAGUUCCCAAGUCUGGUUUUGAUGGAGAGAUUUCAUCUCUUCCUCCAUGGCUAGCUUCCACUGAUCACUUUCAUUGCUGCGUAAUGCUUCACCGAAAGUAUUGGGGAUGUCAUCAUCAAUAACUGAAAGUGCAUAGGCUACCACCAUAUCUUUAGUAAGCCAUCCGGGUUUUUUUAUCUCUCUUUUUGGCCUCCUUGUUGCUAUAAAAUCAUCAUCAUCUACAUCAUCAAUUGUUUUUUCAUUUUGUGGGACAUCAGAAGAAACAACCUCUUCUUCAACUUUAGGUGUCACCUCCAUAGUUGAACCAUUCUUUGAUGUAGAACUAACUUGUACAUAUGGAGUUGCAUCAAACUCCACCCGCUGCAAUACCUCUGUGGUCUUGUUCUCCACCUGCUGAGAACUUGAAGCUUUUAUCAUUGAAGCUUCAUCAAAUGUGACAUCUCCGCUACACACAAACUUUUUGUCUUCGAGAUCCCAAAGCUUGAAGCCCUUUACUCCACCUUUGAAUCCCACAAAGAUAGAUUUUUUAGCACGAGGAUCCAGUUUACCAUCUUUGACAUGAUAAUAAGCUGGACACCCGAAUACACGAAGGGAAUCAUAGUCUUGUGCAUGCUUUCCAGACCCCAUUUCCAUAUGAGUUUUACCUCCAAUUGCAGCAGAAGGCAACCGAUUUACCAAGUGACUUGCGUAGCUCACAGUUUCAGCCCAAAACUUUUUAUCUAAACCAGCAUUAGAUAACAUACAUCGUACCUUCUCCAGUAAAGUACGAUUCAUACGCUCAGCCACACCGUUCUGUUGCGGAGUAUGUCUCACCGUGAAAUGUCUUUUAAUACCCUCGUUCUGGCAUACUUGCAAGAAUGGAUCAGAAGUAUAUUCACCCCCAUUAUCAGAUCGUAAUACUUUGAUCUUUCUGCCAGUUUGAGUCUCCACCAAUUUCUUCCACUUCACGAAAAUCUUUAGAACCUCAUCCUUUGCUCGCAUGGUGUACACCCAUACACGUCUAGAGAAAUCAUCAACAAAUAUAACAAAAUAAUGGCUUCCACCAAUUGAUGCAGUCUUGGUUGGUCCCCAUACAUCACUAUGAACAUAUUCAAGGAUCUCACGAGUAUCGUGAUUAGCUGUACCAAACUUGACCCUUGUUUUCUUGCCUACUACACAAUGCUCACAGAAAUUUAAUUUACAGGUUUUGGUACCUUUUAAGAGUCCAUGCCUCAUCAGAGUUUGCAAAGACUUCUCUCCUGCAUGUCCCAGUCGUACAUGCCAUAGCUUGGUGGUGUCACUGUGCGCCUCAACAACAUUUGCUUCAUCAGUUGUACCUCUCUUCAAAUAGUACAAAUUGUGACGCCGAACCCCUUGCAGAAUCAUCAUAGCCCCAUGUGUAAACUUCAUUGUGCCAUCUUCAAUGGUAACUUUGUAACCUUUAGCUUCCAAAGCACCCACAGAAAUUAGAUUUUUCUUUAUCUCUGGAACAAAUCUAACCUAUUUGAGUUCUCUGACCAUUCCAUCAAACAUUUUGAGCCGAAUUGUUUCUAUCCCCAUUGUGCGACAAGGUUGAUUAUUCCCCAUCAUAACUGCACCGGAUUCCAGAUUACGAAAAUCCGUAAACCAUUCCUUAAUAGGACACAAAUGAUAGGUUGCUCCAGUAUCAAGUGUCCACUCACUCGAACUAGCCACGUAUGCUGCAGGAGUAAUACUUAGUGAAUAAUCAGAGUUCUCAUCUUUCCGUGCCAUGUUUACUGCUGCUGGUUUCUUCCCAUCUCUCUUUUGAGCCUUUGGACAAUCUUUUCUCCAAUGACCCUUUUCAUGAAAAAAGGCACACUCAUCUCGAGCUAUAUUUCUGCUUCUUGAUUUGGAUCAAGAAUUCAUUCCACCACGGUUCUUCUGUUUCUCCAUCGCCCAAUCUCUGCUCACCAAAGCUUCAGACGAUGCUCGUUCAGAAUUUUUAUCAUUAUUCUGAAUCUCCAAACUAGUCAAUGCUGUGCAAACAUCUUUAAAGACGAUCACACUCUUCCCAUAUAUCAAAGUAGUCACAAAAUGGCUAUAUUCCUCUGGUAGUGAGUGUAACAGAAUCAUAGCCUUAACUUCAUCUUUAAUAUCUUCAUCAAGAUUCUUCAAAUCAGCAAGUAACUUUUCAAAUCUUGAAACAUGAUCGUGCAUUGACACCCCAGGCUUCAUUCGAAAACCAUAUACUUGGCUCAUUACAUGAAGGCGAUUUUCAGGACUUUUCACCAGGUACUUCUCCUCCAAUGUACGCCACAAAGUCACCGCACACUCCUCAUCUUUCACCAAGUAUUUCACCUCCUUGGUCAAACAAGAUCUGAUAUGACCACAAGUUUUUUCGUUCAUACGAUCCCAAAUUUCUUCAUCAUACAAGUGCCUUUUAUUUUUUAGAACAACAUCGAGAUCGAUUUGAAUAAGGGCAUCCAUAACUUCGCGCCUCCACAUGCCGAAGUUGAUUUUCCCAUCAAACUUUUCAACAUCGAUCUUUUGGCCUCCUAUAACAUGUGCUGAAUAGCGAUUUGAUAAAUCUCGCCUCCCACCUGAAGUGUCUCCUGAAAUAGUCUCGGUAGAUAUCUCCCUAAUUCUGGAAGUUUCACCUUCUACCAUUUUCUCAACGAACUAUUUCCACUUAAAAAACAGUCUCUAUGAUGUUAAUUUCGCGUGAAUAAAUGCACCAGGAAAGUUCCCAGGAAACUGGACGGGAACUCGGUCCCAAUUAAAAACCAGAAUCCUUAGACUCUUAUCGCCUUUUUUGACAGAACUUUCCUAGACAUGCAAAAAUACACACUACUUACAAUAGACUGUCUCCCAAGUACAAAUGGCCGUCUCCACCGUAUUCGUAAAUAGUGCCGUAUAUGUGAACAGUACCGUAUACGUGAACAAUACCGUAUACGUGAACAGUACUGUAUCCCCCCAAGUACGAACCGUCGGCUCUGAUACCACUUGUUGUGCGCGGAAUGCGGAAUCAAGCGCACCAAAUAAUUACUGAAAAAUAAAGGACACAAGAAUUUACGUGGUUCGGUAAUUAAACCUACAUCCACGGAGGCAAGAAAGAAUAAUUGUUUAUUUAACAAUUAAUAGAAUACAAUAUUUGAGUAACGAAUCUCACUUCCCAGAAAACCCAAAUAUAUCCAGUACUCUCACACUCUGCAGGAAAGAUAAAUUCCCCAGACACACUUCUCUCAAAAGCUUAGAAACUUAUAAGCUUAACAAUUUUGGGAUGAUUUCAAAUGAAUGAAAUCCUUAGCUAUUUAUAGACUUGAAGCUAGUACUAUUCCACCUAACCCAAGUACUAUUUCACCUAACCCAAGCAUUAUUCCACCUAACCCAUGCAAAUAUGUCAAUGGUGUCCAUUUGGUAAAUUUAACAAAUUUACCAACUUUCCAUUUUUUCUUCAAAUGUUUGAUAGCUCUUUGAAAAAUUGCCACAUGCAUGACUUUUCAACAACUAGCACACAUCCCCUUAAUCAAAAUCUUUUUCAAUAUUGUUUAUUAUAUAAAUGGAUAUUGGUAGUGGUUGAACUUCUAUUAUUUAAUUAUGUUGUCAUUUUCCAUCACUACAACAACAGAUGAUUCAAGUAGGAUCGAUCAAUAAUUGUCGCCCAAUGUUUUGUCUUUUUCAUAAUUUAGUUAUUUUUGUUCAUAUGUCUGACGAAGAAGUUUUAAUUUUGCAAGAGGAAUUCAAGUUGAUAAGACCUUGUCGACUUGUCUUCUGCUGAAGAAUCUUGAAUAAUCAUGCCAAAUUCAAAAAGUGGCAAAAGCAAAAGGCUAAGUUCUUAAUGAAUUCAAUAUUAUUACGAAUUUGGUGCUAGCUCAAUCUUGAAAAUGAUCCAAAAAUUAAAAAGUAAACAUAUAAUAAUCACAUCUACAAAUGUACAUUAUUAGUGAGUCAUUGAUGAUAUCCCAUCACGAAUUCAUUAGCUGACUAAUUAAAGAUACCACGAAAAUAUUAUAUCAUUAGCUGGUCUAAAAAAGUAGUCAAUAAGAAAAUGAAAGGUAAAUUCAUAAAUUUCAGCCGGAAUUUUUUUUUUUUUUUUAAAAGGACCAAUAAUUGUAGGAAAUGGCUAGCUUCUUAUCCUCUUCACAAAAGAUUAAAUCCUCUUGAAAAGGUUUGUUACUGAAAUACAUAUCAUAUUACACCAACACUCUCUAUUACCAUAUGAAUUUAGAUCUUCCCCUAACUUAAUAUUUCAUAUAAUAUUGUAGGAAUAAUCUUCAUCACCGGAGAUUAGGAUCUUCUCCUAACUUAAUAUCUCAUAAGUGUUGUAUGAGAUUAUUUAGCUCAUGUCAUUAUAUUUUUCUAAAGCUAGGAUUUAAUUUACUUUAUACUUUCCUUAUUAAACAUUAAAACCAAUAAUUUUCUAGGCUAAGUAAAACCAUGAAAUUCAAGUGUGCCGCUUUCUAACCAAACUGCUGCUUCUUUCUCUACCGUUUUUUUUUUUUUUUUUUGGUCACAAACUUUAAACUGUGGUAUAUAUAAACUUGAGCAAAGAAGCAUUAUUGGUAGGAUUGGCAAUGAGACGGGAUGGGAUGAGAUUUACCAAUCCCACUCCCGUCCCGCAUAUAUAAUUGAGAUAAAAAAAUGUCUCACUCCCAUCCUUCAAUUUUUUUAUGGGACCAAAAUAUAUCCCAAUCCUGUCCCAAAUUGCCAUCCCUAAUUAUUGGCAAUUCAUUCUUUUAAGAAUUGUUUAUGUAAUGGAAUCAGACCAGAACAGAAUGCAUUAUUGUUCGAUAUACGUAGUCUACAAUAACAAUUGAAGACACCUGAAGAUAAUAUCAAUUAUAGACAAUUGUUAUUGCAAUAUAUUCAAUGCAUUGUUGCUAUCGCUUGUCUGCAAUUAAUUUUAUAUAAAUUAAGCUGAUAUAUCUCAUUUCAGUGUACUAAUAAUUAAGUUGAACGUUGAUGCAGCUACUGCUAUUUCCAGGAACACAGCUUUCUAGGAGCCAUUAUUCGUAAUGUGAGAAGGGAGAUUAAUUAUGGCAGUAGCUAUCUAAAGUAAAAUUUUGGAGAUCUUGAAUUCGCAGAAGCAGAAGCAAUGAGAUUUGGGAUCGAAAUAUGCAAACGGCACAGGUCUAUUUCCAUUCAUUAUUGAAUCAGAUACUAAGAAUGUUGUCAAUCUUGCUGCAGCACUUGAAAGUACUAGAAAAGAGAUUCUUUGAGUGAUAUAUCUCUGAUAUUUAAUUGUUGGCUAGACAACUGGCAAUUUCAAAUUUGUAUUCAUUCCUAGAAUAUGUAACGUGGAAGUUCAUAGAUUAGCUAAACUUGCAGUUAGCGAUCAGAAAGCCGUAUUGUUUGGAUUGAGAAUAUUCCUAUAGAUGUAAAAUCUUAUCAUUUUUGAAGAAUUUUUUACUUUGAAAAUAAAAUAAUUAAGGGCCAUCUCUAUCGUUGCGAAUUGUAACUCGUAGACUUUGCGGUCCACAUUAUGAAUUUAAAAUUCUUGCAUGAUUAAUCACCCACAUGAGCAUGCUCCCCCAACCUGCCACAUCAUGUUACCACUUCUUCCAAUCUGUGUAUACACACACACACACACACACACCAGUAUGGCCUCCAUGCAAAUCACAAACGCAGUAUCUAAUAUUGUUUGUCACUGGCAAGAAACAUGAAUAUUAAAGCCUUCUUUGUUCUCUCCACAGUGCUCUCAUUGCUUCUCUUGUUAUGUAUCAUUUGAUCAGUAAUAAUGUUAGGUUAAUCACAAAUUCAUUAUAUAAAAUAUUUUGUACAAAAUUGAUAACACAUAAUGUACAGUAUCGAUGUGAUAAGAACACCACACAACCCGAUCAUUAUUUUAUAUUUCCAUUCAACCAAUACUAUUUUAUCACAUCAGCUUUAAGAGUAGCUUAAUUAUAGCUAGCUCUAGCAUUACUCGUUUUGAUUCAAAUGAUUUUCGAAUUUUUAUCAUUUGCAUGGUCAAUAUAUAGUUCCUCUCUCUUUUUUUUAUUUUUUAUUAAUUGUUUUCCUUGUGUGCAGUUUGCCAACAUGAUAGAUGCAAGAAAAUACCAUGGAGACGAUUGGAGUAUUGUCGUGAAAAAUCAAGACAUGCCUUGGGAAUCAACUCAAGGUCUCAUUCCCGAAGUUCAAGGCCCGACCAUCUCUAAAACCAAAGCCUAUUGCCAUACACAUGAUGAUUCUGAGCACACCAUGGAGAAGCCUUUUGUCAAUAAGAACUUUGAGCUGAUGCCUGAUGUUUCAAUCUAUGACAACGGUAUUAAGCCAACCAAACAAAAGGCUUUUGCCAAGCACUUCGAGUUCUUGCCUGAUGUUUCAAUUUACGACAACGGUAUUAAGCCAACCAAACAAAAGUUCUUCGCCAAGGACUUCGAGCUCAUGCCUGAUGUUUCUAUUUAUGACAAUGGUGUAAAGCUAGCCAAACAAAGGUUCUCCGCCAAGGACUUCGAACUCAUACCUGAUAUUUCAAUUUAUAACAAUGGUGUAGAGCUAGCCAAACAGAAGGCAUUCGCCAAAGGCUUCGAGCUCAUGCCUGAUGUUUCAAUUUAUGACAAUGAUAUUAAACCAACGAAGAAGAGUUCAUAUGCCAAGGACUUUGAGCUGAAGGCUGAUAUUUCAAUUCAUGAACCGACCGAACAAAAAUAGGUAAUUAGCAUUACGGAUCUGCAGCCAGAUGCUACAAUUUAUCAUAAUUAAAUAGAUGAUCAUGCUUGUAAUCAGGCGCAGGAUGGAGUCUCUUACCAUAUUUAAUGUUCUAGAAGAGUAGCCACAUACGUGCAAUAACGCUUUCCUUGUUUGUGUGUGUUGUCAAAAGCGCUGUUUCUAAAGUAAUGUAAUAAGUGCUGAAAUAACCCAUGCAAUAAAAUCAUGUCAUGCGUCUUUAAUUUUUUUUUUCUCUCUCUCUUAAACAAUCUUAUGAUAGAUUAUUUACAAGUUAUAAUUUAUAAAGAGAGAAACUAUAUUAAAAUAAUGCUUUUUACAUAAAUAUUCUAUCCAUUAAUCUCGUAUAGCUAAUUAAGUUUGUUUUUUUUUUUUUUAUUUACAACGACAUCCUUAGAUGUUUAAAUUGUUUUUUUUUUAAAGGUAAAAGGGUUGGGUCAAUCAAAAUUAAUUUUUUCACCCUGAUCUCUUUGAGAUUCGAACUUAGGUGGCUAGCUAACUAAGAUUAUUUGAAACCAUUCGGUUGGGUUUCUAGGGGCCUUGGAUGUUUAAAAUUUGUAUUUUGAAUUGUUAUUCAGAUGGAACAAUAUAAUUAACUUUAAUUUCAAAGUCAAUUUGACCCUAUUUAAUUUUGAGAUGCUGUUACUUUUAAACUAGCUACUUGGGAAAAAAAAAAAGUCGUAACCUUAAAAUAAAAAGUGAUACUGUGUGGAAAAUAUGAUUUUAAAUAAUAAUUUUGACAAAAUAGCAAAGAAAUAUUAUUUAAAUUAUUAUUACCAGCCAAACAAAAAUAGGUUUUUUAUUAUACAAAUGCAAGAUCAAAUCAACUUAAUUUUUGAGUUACAACAACUACUACUUACUAAACACUUUGAUGUCAAUACCAAAUAGGCCUCUUUUUUCCUCUCCCUCUCUAAUUUGUAAGACUACCCAACCAUAUAUUGUAUAAUAUUCAAUUAUUAUAUUAACUAGUUUUAUUUUCUUAUGAUCACAUGAUAUCUUUUUUUUUUUCAAGAAUCUGAACAGAUAAUGGUUUUAAAGCUCAGAAGUAGAUCUGAUUCUAAAUAUUUGGAAAUUGAAAAAAAAAAAAAAACUAAUUCACAUUUGCAGAAGAAGGUAUGUACUUGAUAACUUGAACGCCAUGAUGGUAUAUAAUUAAAUUUAACUAUUGUUAUAUUUUUAUUUAUUAAUCACUAAUUAUUCACGAUGAAUUUUAUUUGAAUAAGUUCAUAUCAUGAUAGAAUCUUAAUUCAAAUACAUAUGAAAAAAAAAAAUCUAUGACUGCACUAAUAAGAUAUUUCAUUUAAUCAUGUGAUAUUAAAAUGAAAAUUAUGAUAGAUAAACUUAAAUUUUCCAUUUUCCCCCCUUUAUCAUCUCACAUGGGCCACUUCAAUUCGCUGAAAUCCUGAUGCUUCGGCCUCCAGAUGUAAAAGAACAUGAGUCACAUAUAGUAUUGGUAGAUGCGUGAAUGGAUCACAUCUCACUCAACCAACAAAUUGCAUGUCAUCUGGAAAAUGAUUUAAAUAAAUGAACAAAUACUCAGUCCUCUAUUUUAAGUUAAGUAUUUGUUUAUUCCUUAUAUUUUAAAAAUAUCUCAAAAUAAGUUGUAGUUAAAUAUAUUACAUUCUUAAUCUUGUUUUUGCUUUGCUUUUAUAAUAAUGCCCUUAUAAUAAUAUUCUUGACAUUAAUUAAUUUAUCUAUAAAAUUUUAAUUAGAAAAUUAACCAAUAAUUAUUUAGUAAUAAAUUAACCAAUAAAUAUUAGUACAAAAGAACUAAUAUUUUUUGUACAUGUGCGACAAUCGUGCUAAUAAUUUAUUUAUAAAUAAAAUUAAUAUUAGUCAACUUAAAGUAAUGCUUAUCAUCCUUGCAAUAAUUUUACUAAUAAUUAUUUUAUAAAAAAUUAAUUUACCAAAUUAAUCCUAAAAGUAAAAUAAUAACAUAAAAAAAAAUUACUGUAAAAAUUUUUAUGCUACUUUGAAGGCUAAUUUGAUAAAGAAUGGAACUACUAGCACUCCUUCAAAAUCUUUUUUAAGACCCCUUUUUAAAUACACCCAAUCAAAUAAAUGAAAAAUUAUAUCACUUCUAAAAACAACCAUCUUUAUUCCACAAUUGUCCUUCAAUCUUAUCUCUCAUAAAAUGAUAAAAUUACAAAAAUAAAAAUCUUUUUGUGGAUACUAUUGCAAUAAUGAUCAUUAGCAUUCUUCACAAAUUUGAUUAACAAGUAUGGAAUGGUAUGUAACUUUAGAUUUCUAAAUUUUAACUUUUCUUUAUGUUUUGCAACAAAUAUACCUUCUAUUUUAAUAUAUGAUACCUAUUAAUUUAAUUUUUUUCAAAUAACAAAACUCACUUGUUCAAACAAACAAUGAGACCAAAAAAAGCAAGGGAAAAAAAGUGAACAAAUAAAAGGUAGAACUACUUGACACAUAAAAACUUUAAAAAAAAAUGAAAAAGAAGAGAUCUAGUAAAAGAAGUAUGAGUAUAAAAUAAGCCAGGCAAUGAAAGAAUCAUAGCUUUUCGACAAAUUCCAUGUCAAUGUCCUUUUGGAAUAAAUUUUUAAUGUUAUCUAUUUGAAUAAUGAUGGUGGUUGAGUUUCCACUUUCCAUUAUGCUCUCGAAUGUAAGCUUCUGAUGCGUCUUCUAAAAUAAUUCUAGAUAUUUUAUUUUAAAUUUAUUUGAAUUUGUAAGUUACCCUUUUAAUUGCGGUUAUCAUGUAAACAAUUGUUGCCAAAUCAUAAACAAAAUCCUGAGUAGGGACGAUAAUGGGACGGUUUUGAUCGAUGAUCCACUUAAUCUAAAUCUAAAUUUAUCAUAUUUGGAUCAGUAUAAAAUGAAUUUGGAGUGGGUACAUAUGAAUCUAGAUGAGUAAAUUCAAAACAAAUUUAAAGCACGUAUACAAAUCUAACUUAAAAUUCGGAUCCGUAUCCAUAUCUAAUUAGAAAUCUUUUAAUUUUAUUUUAUUUUUAAAAGUAUUAAACUAUCGAUGGUUUAAUACUUUUACAAUCAAAUUAAACUUAUACCUAGCUUACUGAAAUCAUACCACAUUUAUGAGAUGCAAUAUAUUAUCAGUUUUAUAUGAAAUUCAAAGUAUUAUUUUUAAUUUUAUUUAAGAUGAAUUAUGUGUUUUAGUUGAUAGUAAGACGUUUUUUUCUCAAAUAUUUUUGUGCUCUUAUUAUUCUUAUGAGGCUUGAAAGUUUAAUAAGAUAAAUUUAUUAAUAUUCUAUUAUAAUAUAUAAAAUUUUAAAAUUAAAAAUUGAUAAAUCCAAGAUAGAUUUGGAGCAAAUCCGAACCUUUAUUUUAAAUUUGAACUUAAAUAUACAGUAAAAAUCAUAAAUCUAUAAUGAAUUUAGAGUAAAUACAAAUCUCAAUUUUUAUUAUUAAUCAAGAAUUAGAACAGAAUAGAUCCAGCUGAUAUAUAUGUCCCAUUGUCAUCCCUGUGACUGAUGAAAAGAUAUAGGAAAAUAAACAGGAGUUUAAUAAGCUAGACAAUAAAAGAAUCAUAUAUAGCAAUGAUUGAUUCUUUCUUCCUAUCCUUAUGAAAUCUUUCUCAAUGUCUUUUCUACGAAAUCUUUUUUAAUGUCCUUUUCGAAAAUAUCACCCUUCAGCCAAUGACUUUGAGCUGAAGGCUGGUAUUUCAAUUCAUGAACCAACCGAACAAAAAUCGUUUGUCAACAAUAUGGAUCAGCAGCCAGAAGCUACAAUUUAUCAUUAUUAAAUAGGUGAUCAUGCUUGCAACCAGGCGCAGGACAGAGUCUCUGACCAUAUUUAAAUGUUGUAGAAGCGUAGCCAUAUAUAUGAAACGUUUCACUUUGUUUUCGUAUGUUAUCAAAGGCUCAGUUUUAAAAGUAAUAUUGUAAUAAGUAUUGAAGUGUCCCAUGCAAUAAAAUCGAAGUGUCCCAUGCAACAAAAUCAUGUCAUGCGUCUUAAAUUUAUUUUGCCCUCUUAUUUAUCCUAGAUGGUAAAUACUGUUAUGAUAGAUUAUUCAAAAGGUUAUAAGGGGAGAAGAUAAGUUUAUUUUUUUUUGGGGAAAAACAUUUCCUUGCUGAAAAAAGCAAAAAUUUACAUAAGUACUGCAAUGUCUGUGGGCGGCUCUUCCAACUGAAUAAGAUCGUUAAUCAAAGAGAGUGCUAAUUUUGCUAACUGAUAAGAAACUGUAUUACAAUUUCUAAUUUCUGAAAUGAUCCAUUCAAUCUCCUUUCUACUUGAUAAAACGCCCGUAAUUAGAUGGACAAGAUUUACUGAAUCAAAUUCCACAAUAAAAAGAGUUAAGCAUAAAUCUAUCGCCGGCUUGAUGCCUUCUAGGAUAGCUUCAGCCUCUGCAAACUCGAUGUCGCUAAGAAAAGAUUUCUUGUGGCUGAGCCAGCUAUAAAAUCUCCCUUGAAAUUUCCUAUAAUUGCACCCAAACCUGUAAUUCCAUUGGAGAUGUCAAUCGGUGCAUCAACGUUCAAGUUGUACCAAUGAUUAUCCGGUGGAAUCCAACUAACACCCUUCUUGGUUGGAGGGACUAGAAACUCUUGAAUUGGAGAGCCUUGAGCAGCAGUGUACGAAUUCAAAACAGCUUCAGCCUUGCAAAGAACACUCUUUGGGUCCAUCUUUUGAUUCUGAUAGAGCGCUAUGUUCCUAGAAUGCCAAAUAGACCAUGUAAUCAUCCCAAACGAUGGUAGUCCUCUUUUGACAGCCAAGAUUCCAAAUUCUUUGCAAAGAGAGCAAAAUCCAUAUGAGGGUUAUUCGUUACAUAAGCAGCCAAAGUUGACAACUUCCACACCUUGAUCGCAAACUUAUAGCCAACUAACUCAUGAAAGGUACCCUCAAUAGCACUAAAACAUCGAUGACAAUUUGGAGAAUCCACUACUUUUCAUUUCAAAAGAUUAUUUGAUGUAGAGAGUAUAUUACGUAGAGCUCUCCAAAAAAAAGAUCGACUUUAGAUGGAAUGGAUAAAAGCCAAGCGGGAUACCCCAAUUAGCAUAGCCAAAUGAACUUAGAGGGGGAAUUAGGAUAAGUAAGACUAAGGGCCACUUGUAACCACUCUUAAAAGUUUACAAAUUUAUUUUGUACAAACUGAUUUGACAUUAACUUAUUGAUUAAAUAAAAAUACAACAACAUGUUUUUAUAUUUAAAAUAUAUAUAUUCACAUAUACGAAGGUAUAUACUUGAACAAUAUGAGUAAUACAUGUGAAUUAAAAUCAUCUCCUAAUCUAAGCUCCAUUAAUUAAUUUUAAAAAAAACUUGUCACAUGUUUUUAGUAUAGUGUAUAAUUAUUGUUAUGUUUUUAUUUAUUAAUUUCCAAUUACCUGCUAUAUAUCUUACUCAACAAUGUUUUGAUCAUGAGAGAAUUUUAAUUCAAAUACAUAUGAAAAAAAAAGAAGAAGAAAUCUGAGACCAUACUAAUAAGAGAUUUCCUUUCAUGUGAUUUUAAGAUCAAAAUUAUGAUAGUAUGCAAAACUUGGUUGCGUUUAGUAUUGUUCUUUAAACAUGUUUUUUGUAUUUAUUUUAUAAUAUAGAUAUGAUUAAUAUUUGAUGAAUUUGAAAAUUUGUUUGGUAUAUAGUAUAUAGUAUGAAUUUGACCACUAAAUAUUAAUAAUUAUAUUUAUAUACAAAAUUAAAAAAAAAUAAGGAUUUCUCUACCUUAACGUUUAAUGUAAGGUACAUCCCUUACAAAUUGAGCUAUAAGUCCACUUGAGCCCACAGCCAAUAGAGAGGUUGUACCUUACAUUAAAUGUAAGUAGAGAUGGCCAAUGGGUCGGGCGGCACAAGGCACAGCACGUGUCCGUACAACAUGGCACGACACGAGCACGUUUUCGGUAGGGCACGAAGCACGGCACGGCACGCAAAAAGGCACGUAAUAAGCACGCUUCAUUGAUAGGCUAAGCACGUAGCCCGUGGGCCAAAGUAUAUCAAAAUAAAAAAUUUUAAUGAAAAAUAAAUAUAAAAUAUCAUGAUUUUAUAAAUAUCUUGAAAAUUAAAUUUUUUAAUAUAUUUUUUUAGCAUAGGUUUUUUAAAAUUAAUUUAAGUCCUAGUUUAAAUAAAUAUUCUAAUUUUUUAUGUUUAUAAUUUAUUAAAUGGAAUAAAUAAAUAUCAUGAUUUUAUAAAUGAUAAAUGAAAAAUUUUACGACAUUAAUAUUUCAUUUAUGAAAUCAUAACUUAGUUAAUAGUUAAUGGAGAUAUGUUUCAUUUAGUGAAUGAAAUAUUUUCAUAUUUAUGCACAAAAAAAUAAAAUUAUGAACAAAAUAUUUUUAUGAUAAAUUAAAAAUUACAUUUUCAUUCAAUGGAGUUUAUGUGCAAUUAUAAUAUUAGUAGCUCAAAUAAAAUUAGAUGUAAUUGUAUUCUAGAAUUGUAAUUUUAUUUCAUUAAUUUAUACUAUGAUCUAUGAAAUUAUAUUAUUAUUGUCGUUGUUGUUGUUGUUAUUAUUAUUAUUAUUAGGCUGGUAGGGUUAAAAAAGCACGCCAGGCACGUGGACUUUUUAGGCAUACUGGACAUGUGGACAAAGAAAAAAGGUUGGUGGCUUUUUUUUGGCACGGCCCACGGCACGAGUUUGGACAUGUGGACAAAAAAAAGUUGGUAUGGGUUUUUUUAGCACGAACCACGGCACGGUACGGCACGAGUGGGCUCGUGCCGUGGGCCGUGCCGGCUCACGAGCCCGUGGGCUGACAUUUUGUGGGCCGUGCCGUGCUGGCCAUCAUUAAAUGUAAGGUAACAGCUCCCAAAAAAUAAAUGAAAGAGAGAGGCAACAUAGCAUAAUACGGGCCGGACCCACAUCUUCAUAAAACUAUGUCAUAAAAGCAGUGGUAGUUCCUAUGAACAAAGUGAAGAAUAAAGAUUUGAUGCUGUCUAAUUAUCUUCGUUAACAUUGUAAAAUAGAUAUGGUUUGCUUUCAUAAUAAUAAAAAUGUUACUGUUACUGAGGCUUAUCAAACAUUUUUUUCUAUUCUUAUAAAAUAGAAAAUGAGUGAUGAAAAACAAUACCAUACAGCCCAAAUUUUUUCCAUUUUUACCCCUUUAAUCAUAGCCUAUCGGCCUCUCCAAUUAGUUGAAAUCUUGAUGAUUCGACCACAGUUGUAAGAGAAAUUCUAGAAUAUAUCUAUUGUAUUAUAACUAAUUAAUGCAUGCACGACAUGCGUAAUUGAGUUUAAUACAACCACCACUUGCAUGAUAGUUUACAAAAUAAAUGCACACAUCAUGAUAUUAUUGCUUGUUGUAUGGGUGACAUAGUACAACAGAUGUAUUCUAGAAUUUCUCCAAGUUGUAAAAUACCAUUUGAGUCACAUAUAUUAUUGGUAGAUGAGUAGAUCGCAUCUCCCUCAACCAACGAAUUGCAUGUCAAUGUGAAAAUUGAUUUAACUGUUUAGUCUGUUUUUCAAUGAGACGUUUUCGUUCAAACUUUUACCUUCAAUCAAUGGGACCGAAGAAAGUAGGAAAAAAAAAAUUAAACAAAUAAAAGGUAGAACUAGUUGACAGACAAAAUUUUAUCAACAUUUUGAAACAACCAACAUUAAAAAGAAAUAAAAAAAUAAAAGAAGAGAUCUAGUAAAAGAAACAUGAGUUUAAUAAUUAAGCUAGAAAAGGAAAGAAUCUUAGUAAGCUUUUCAACAAGAUCCUUUUCAAUGUCCUUUUCGACAAAAUCUUUAUUGUCAAUAUAUUGAAAAAUGAUGGUGGUUGAGUUGUCACUAUGUAUCUCGAAUUUAAGCUUCUGAUACGGUCUUUUAAAAAUAAUUCUGGAUAUUUUAUUUAAAUGGUAACUUUUAAUAGUGGUUAACUUGUAAACAAUUGUUGCCAAAUCAUAAACAAAAUCUUAUUGUCUCACGGAAAGAUACUGGAAAAUAAUCAUGAGUUUAAUAAGCUAGACAAUGAAAGAAUAAUAUAUACAUGUUAUAUAGUAACGAUUGAUUAUUUCUUCUUACCGCUAAGAAAUCUUUUUCUAUGCCUUUUUUCGACAAAAUCUUUAAUGUUAUAUAUUGAAUAAUGAUGGUGAUUAAGUUUCCAUUAUGCAUCUCUCAUGUAAGCCUCAGUCCCUAGAAUUAACUAGCUCUCAGGAUUCCCUGCAUCAGUUAACUACAGCUUCCAGGUUUAUCAAUAAUUAUGGUACACCAUCCUCCAAUAUCUGUGCAUAUAUAUUUUUUAAACAGGAAUUUUGGAGUUUGGAUCAUAUUAAAAUAAAGGAUAAAUUAAAAAUAAGACAAACAUACUCUAAACAUAUUUUAUUUUAUCAUGUAAUAUAUUGAAUUUCAUAUUUUUCUGUCUUUUUAGCUUGUUAUAACGAUCCUUUAUAAGAAAUUAAAUGUAUCUUGAUUCUCUCCCACACUAACUUUAGAAGAGAAAUUAUUUAAUUUGCUUUAUUCUUUUACUACUACUACUGCGUCAAAAUAACCAACAAUUGACGACAACAAUUAUUGAAUAUGUAACAAAUUUACAUACAUUUUGACGACAUCUUUACUUGUUUGUGUUGGCAUCCUUAUUGGCAAAUUACAACAUCGUUCAGUCUUCUUAUAAUUAAGCAAUUGUCUAUGUAACAUAAAUUAUGUAUUAAGAACAUCAAUAUGGCGUGGAGCAUUGCGCAUAGAAGAGAAGAAGUAAAGUCUUAGGCGUCUACUCCAUGUGGGAAACAUGGGAUUAUCACAAAGAGAGAUUUAAAGAUUAUAACAAAAGAGAGAUUUUAACUAACUUGUUAUGGAGGGAUGAGAUAACGAUCAAGUUGGCAUAAUCUGUAGAGAUAACGACGAGUUUGGAAUAAUCAUGUGGUGAUAAUAUUAUGAUAUUCUGCCUUUUGAUCAACUGAGCACGCUCCCUCUCACAACACAACUCUCUUCAUAAGAAUUGGCCAACAUGGAUUGUCACUUUUCAUGUUAAUUUGAUAUUACCUUGAAUGGCAUAUUAAUUUGAUUUGAAAAAUGGAACGAGAGUAGAGGAAAAAAGGAGAAUGAAAAGAAAUAAGAAAAAAAAUGAUGAAUUUCAUAUAAAAAAUCAAAUAAUGAAAUAAUAAAAUUGAGGUCGAUUCUCUUUUUUUUCUCUUUUUUCUCUAAUAAAAAUAUAUCAGAUUAAUGACAAAGUAUUGAUAUUUGAUCCCCUCAGUUUCUCUUAUUAUCUCCCACUUCUCUCAUUUUAAUUUGAAAAGUCAAAAAUACCUACCAAAAUAAUUUUAAGUUUUAAAUUUUACCCUUUCUUCUUUCUCUCCUCUCUCUUAUUCUCCCGACUUCCCUUCAUCUUCGUUUUCUUUAAAAAUUGAAGAUUAGUACACUUUCCUUCAUUUUUUGAUCUUUCUGUAUCGAUGAGAGCAAUAAUUGACAUCAUCAAACAAUCCUUUUCUACCCAAAUCAUGAUUAUAAACAAAAGUAAAAAAUAGCAAUAUCAUGAUAUGGAAUCUUGAUCAUAUCUCAUGAUCCCUCUUCAGCUUCUAUGUUAAUCAAAAGAAAAAAAUAUAAUCGAUUAAAGAUUAAAUUUAAAUUUUAAAAUGUUGUCCUUUUUUUGGGGGGGGGGGGGGGGGAUAAAAAAGAGUUUGAGAUCAAGAUGACAGUGUUGCAUAAAUAAUUAUUAUUAAAAAUUAAAGAAACGGCUUGCAUGUCCCACUUAUUGCUAAGAAGAGAAGUGGUUCGCGCCGGCCAGUUCCAAGAAGACAAGUGGUGGUGUCAGUGCAUGGUUAGUAAUUAUUGGGGACUAGAACUAAUGAUGGUGAUUAAGUUUCCAUUAUGCAUCUCUCAUGUAAGCCUCAGUCCCUAGAAUUAACUAGCUCUCAGGAUUCCUGCAUCAGUUAACUACAGCUUCCAGGUUUAUCAAUAAUUAUGGUACACCAUCCUCCAAUAUCUGUGCAUAUAUAAUUUUUAAACAGGAAUUUUGGAGUUUGGAUCAUAUUAAAAUAAAGGAUAAAUUAAAAAAUAAGACAAACACAUACUCUAACAUAUUUUAUUUUAUCAUGUAAUAUAUUGAAUUUCAUAUUUUUCUGUCUUUUUAGCUUGUUAUAACGAUCCUUUAUAAGAAAUUAAAUGUAUCUUGAUUCUCUCCACACUAACUUUAGAAGAGAAAAUUAUUUAAUUUGCUUUAUUCUUUUACUACUACUGCGUCAAAAUAACCAACAAUUGACGACAACAAUUAUUGAAUAUGUAACAAAUUUACAUACAUUUUGACGACAUCUUUACUUGUUUGUGUUGGCAUCCUUAUUGGCAAAUUACAACAUCGUUCAGUCUUCUUAUAAUUAAGCAAUUGUCUAUGUAACAUAAAUUAUGUAUUAAAACAUCAAUAUGGCGUGGAGCAUUGCGCAUAGAAGAGAAGAAGUAAAGUCUUAGGCGUCUACUCCAUGUGGGAAACAUGGGAUUAUCACAAAGAGAGAUUUAAAGAUUAUAACAAAGAGAGAUUUUAACUAACUUGUUAUGGAGGGAUGAGAUAACGAUCAAGUUGGCAUAAUCUGUAGAGAUAACGACGAGUUUGGAAUAAUCAUGUGGUGAUAAUAUUAUGAUAUUCUGCCUUUUGAUCAACUGAGCACGCUCCCUCUCACAACACAACUCUCUUCAUAAGAAUUGGCCAACAUGGAUUGUCACUUUUCAUGUUAAUUUGAUAUUACCUUGAAUGGCAUAUUAAUUUGAUUUGAAAAAUGGAACGAGAGUAGAGGAAAAAAGGAGAAUGAAAAGAAAUAAGAAAAAAAAUGAUGAAUUUCAUAUAAAAUCAAAUAAUGAAAUAAUAAAAUUGAGGUCGAUUCUCUUUUUUUUCUCUUUUUUCUCUAAUAAAAAAUAUAUCAGAUUAAUGACAAAGUAUUGAAUUGAUCCCCUCAGUUCUCUUAUAUCUCCCCACUUCUCUCAUUUUAAUUUGAAAAGUCAAAAAUACCUACCAAAAUAAUUUAAGUUUUAAAUUUUACCUUUCUUCUUUCUCUCCUCUCUCUAUUCUCCCGACUUCCCUUCAUCUCGUUUUCUUUAAAAAUUGAAGAUUAGUACAACUUUCCCUUCAUUUUUGAUCUUUCUGUAUCGAUGAGAGCAAAAUUGACAUCAUCAAACAAUCCUUUUCUACCCAAAUCAUGAUUAUAAACAAAAGUAAAAAAUAGCAAUAUCAUGAUAUGGAAUCUUGAUCAUAUCUCAUGAUCCCUCUUCAGCUUCUAUGUUAAUCAAAAAGAAAAAAAUAUAAUCGAUUAAAGAUUAAAUUUAAAUUUUAAAAUGUUGUCCUUUUUUGGGGGGGGGGGGGGGGGGAUAAAAAAGAGUUUGAGAUCAAAGAUGACAGUGUUGCAUAAAUAAUUAUUAUUAUAAUAAUUAAAGAAACGGCUUUGCAAUGUCCACUUAUUGCUAAGAAGAGAAGUGGUUCGCGCCGGCCAGUUCCAAGAAGACAAGUGGUGGGUGUCAGUGCAUGGUUAGUAAUUAUUGGGGACUAGAACUGAUUGCCAAGAGUGAGGGUGCAUUUAAUAUUGAGGUUGAGUAACUUUUAAGAUACUGUACUAAAGUGUUUGGUAAACACUAAUUACGGUAGCUUGGAAACUAUGGUGGUAUUUGUUUUUUAACUUAAUGACUUAAAGUGACUUAACUUAAUUAAUUAAGUUAAUUAGAGGUGUUUGUUUUUAUAACUUAAUGAGACUUUUUAGAUAAUUUGACUUAAUAAAAUAAGCUAAUUUUUUGGCUUUUUACUUAAUGGAGAAAUCUGAAUUAAGUUAAUUACUUGCUAAUGUCAAAAAUAUCUCUGUUUUAUAAUUAUUUUUAUGUCUAUCCCAAAACUCACCCAUAAAUAUUUACCCCACAUAAAAAUAUCCCUGUUUUUCUUUCUAUAUUAUAUACGAUAAAAUUUGAAAAUUUAUGGUAUUUAUAUAUUAAAAUUCUAAAAUAAUUAUGUAUUCACGUGAAUAUAGUUUUGCUUAUAAAUGUUAAAAUAUUAUGGUAUUUAAUAUAUUAUUUAUUGACAUUUCAAAUUUAAUAAGGCUACAAAUGUAAAAGUACAUAUUUUCAGCUUUUUAAGUUGAAAAAAACAACAGCUUAAUACUUAUUUUCCGAGAUUCAUACGAAAAAACAAACAUAUUAUUCAGAUUCAGACAUUCAGAUCUAUUAAGAAUUCAGACUAAUUCAGGUUUAUUCAGAUUUUAGAUAAAAAAAACAAACGCCACCUAUGUUAAUAUGAUUUUUUUCUUAUAUAAUAAAAAAUUUAUUAUAUCUUUAAUAAUUUGUCAAAUUAUUAUUUAAAAUUUAUAUAUACUAUAUAUUAUUAAUUUUGUUUCAUAUUACAGUUUUUUUCAUAGCAGUUAUAACUUAAAAGGUAUAGCACCUCAAUUUCAAACAGGACCUGAAUCUUGUUCAACAAGCAACAGAUUUAGCACCGAUGAGAGAAGAACAAAUAUUAAUUUAUUUUUUUUAAUGAGGGCAAUUCUGAAUAUAAUUAUAACUAGUAAAAUGGGAGCUAACGAGAUAAAUUGAGAGGUUUAAUAUCUUUACUCUUAAUAUAAAAAAUAACCACAUCGAAGUGCACUGUUAAAUAAAUAAGUGCCAUCACUAUUUAUGCAAUUUACAUGAUAUUAUGAUUAAUCUUGCAUAUGAUUAUUUAUUAAUAAAAAUAUGUAACAUGUGCUAGCACAUACUAUUUUCCUCUAAAUUUCUUAUACCACAUUUUUUCCUAUAAAUAGAAAGAGGCACACGUCUUCCACGCAAAUCACACAAGUAAGACUUAGUAUAAUUAGAAACAUGAAUCUCAAAGCUUUCUUUGUUCUCUCCGCAGUGCUCUCUUUGCUUCUCUUGGUAUAUAUGCAUCUCUUUUUUAGGAAAAUUUAACAUAAAGGAUACCUAAUUAAGUUAGUUUUGAUGAGAUUCUCUUUAUCAUUUGUUUGAUCUAAUUUUUUUUUUUCCUCUUGUUCAGUUUGCUAACAGAACAGAGGCCAGAAAAGAUCAGGGAGAAUAUUGGAGAGGCUUCGUCAAAGAUAGCGACGUGCCAGAAUCAAUUCAAAUUCAUGUUCGCCAGGAUCCUGUCUCAACUGCCUCUGAUGCCAAAGCCCACUGCAAAGAACCUGAAGAUUUAGAGCACAAGAGAGAAAAGACUUAUGUCAAGGAUUCUGACGCAACGAUUGAUAUCUUAGUUUAUCACAACAGUAUUAAACCAACUGAACAAAAGUUAUUUGGCAACCACUUCGAAAGCCCGGAUGCUACAAUUUACCACAAUGACAUUAAACCAACAGAACAGAAGUUAUUGGCAACCACUUCGAGUCAAGCCCGGAUGCUACAAUUUACCACAAUGACAUUAAACCAACAGAACAGAAGUUAUUUACCAACCACUUCGAGUCAAGCCCGGAUGCUACAAUUUACCACAAUGAUAUUAAACCAACAGUACAGAAGUUAUUUGCCAACCACUUCGUGUCAAGCCCGGAUGCUACAAUUUACCACAACGAUAUUAAACCAAUUGAAAUGAUUAAAUCUUUUGUUAGCAAAUUCUUGUCAAACCCUGAUGCUACAAUUUAUCAUGAGUAACCAGACUCUGCUUUCAAUCGUGUGGAGAGAGCCCGUUAUCCAUCUGUAAUAUUUGUGCGUACGUGUGAUGCUCUCUUUCUAUAAAUAAGUUAUGAGGAGUGCGGUUGUUUAAUGCUCUAAGGCACAAGCUUUGUAAGAAAGUGUGUUUUUAUUGUAAAAUUGAAUAAAAAUUUGUGCCAAGUUAAUUAAUUAUCCCUUUUCUAGUGAUUUUUUUUUUUCUAAUGCUUUGAUUAUUUCCACAAAAUCUUUCGUAAGGAAAGGCCUAGCUACUUGAAUCAAUUUUCUCCAUUUCAACGUUAUUUAGUAUAAUAAUAAUACAAAAAAUCAUUAAUCUCAGUAAUUGAUAAACAAUAUUCUUGCUAUUAUAUUGAGAAUUAAUUCCUAAUCUGAGAAAAUAAAUUAACAAUUAAAAAAUAAUAAAAGAUCGUGAACUACUUAGAUUUAUGGCCCUCUCACAUGUCGAUGGUACUUUACAUAAUUAGAAGCCUUUUUAUUAAUUUUAACAGACACCAUUCAAUCAACUUUGGUGACAUACUGAUAAUUGAUGCAAAAUUCUAUUUGGGGAAAAAAAAGUAAAAGAAAGAACUCCUAUUUUAGCUCUUAAAUCUUAAUUUUUCAAAUUUUAGAAGGAUUAAUGAUCAACAUUAUUUAGCCUAUUUUAUUUAAUUUAUAACUAUAGAAAUCCUAAAGCUGAUGGAGUAUACUUAAUACCUUAUUUUCCCCAAUCACAACCGUCUAAAUUCCUGAAACAUUUCAUUUCUUAAAUUUCAACGGUACAGAUUAAUUCUCUUACGAAAACUCAGCGACUUAUCCUGGACCGCCGCUACUAAAAUACAUAAGAGUAAAAUACUAUAGUAUUCCGGGACAAAUUUAUUUCUUCCACGACGCAAUAAAAUGCUGCGUCCAAUAACAUUCUGUUUCCUAAAGCUUACCCAAAUCGCAGAUAGGAACAUGGUUUGCAAUAAUUUUUCUAACAGAUCCUGCAUCAAAUUCGUUAAAAACUGGUUUAAUUUUUAUUAAAUAAUUUUAAGUAAAUUGAAUAAGAUAAAAAAUUUAAAAAGUUAUUAUUUUAUAAUGAAAAAGCUAGAUCAUCCAUACGUAAUAAAAAAUAGUACGCAUUCACAACUUAAUGCAAUAUAAUCUAGACAACCAAAUAUAUUUUAUGUAUUUUUUACAAAUUGCUUUUAGUAUAAGCAAAUAAGGUGGUUGUCUAAACAUUCAUAUUUUUGGAAGGUCUCAAUUUUUAAUAUUUUCUUAAUAAUUUCUAAUUAAUAAAGAUAUUUUUUUAACUUAUGUAUUGUAGAAAAACCUAUUAGACAUUUUUAUUAUUAACAACUAUACUACAAUUAAGAGUCUUUUUUGUAUAGAAAAUCAAUAUUUGUAACCUUAUUGAUAAAGAGAAAUGAUUAAUAAUAUUUUUAACCAUUAAUUCAUUCAUUAUUAGUUUUCUCAAGAAAAAAAGUUAAAUUCUUUACCUUUUCAUUUCCUAAAAAAAACUUGAUUAUUUAACAUUGAAAUCUUUGACUUUUAUUAUUCCUUUAGUUUCUAUUAGAACCUUAUAAUAUAAAAAAUCAAUAGAUAAAAAAAAUUUGUUCCUCCUUUCUUUACGAAGAAAAUUAUUAUAUUUAUUGGUUAAUUUAAAAAAGAAAAAUUAGUUUCUUGAAGUAUGAAGACCAUAUCUAUUAUCUGAUAAUCAAUUCAUGAUCUCGACUUUCUAGCUAUAUUCUGUCAUUCUAAAUAUUUUAUUUGAAAAUAAUAUUGUUUUAUUUAUUUGUUUGUUUGCUUUUUAAGAGUUCUGAUGGAAGUAAAAAAAACAAAUCUUUUUUACUAAUUUUUUAGGUUUUUUUUAAAAGAUUUUUUAAGAUAUUUUUUUAUUACUGUUAAAAUUUAAGAAUUAAAGAUAGAAUGAAUUUUUGAGUCUUUUCAUAUUUCUUUGAGUAUUGAAAUUACAAAAUAAAAUAUGGCCUUACAAAAAAAAAAUUCGCCUAAGACCCCAUAUACUCUAAUGCCGACUCUGGGUGAAAUUAUUGAUUUUAUUAAUAAUAAUAUGAUGUAUACUAACCAAUGUACAAAACAGUAGUGGGUGACAUAAAUUAGAAUUGUGUUGCAAAAACAAGAGGUUUGAGUGAAAAAGAAUUUACAAACUCACAUUACAAUGUUAUAUAGUUGCCAUAUGUCUCACAUUUUCAAAUGAACAAAAUAUAAUAAAUACAGUAUAAUCUUUAUAACUGAAUAUUCAAUAGAUUAAUAAUCUCUACUGUGUAAUAAUUUUUUAUGGUCAUGACUUAGGCCAAUAGGUUAAAUUAAUAAUUGCAAUAAAUUAAUAAGAUGAUAUUUUUUAUGAAAACCCUUAUAUAACUAUGUGGCUCCAUUCAUAUCAAAAUUAAUAAUUUUUUAAAAUUAUAAAUAUAAUUGACAAUAAUUUUUUAUUUAUUAAAAUGUGAGUCGAUUAUUAUCUUGUUCCCUUAUUACUUCUUUUCCUUGAAAUAUAAAUCUAUUUGAAUCUCGUAUCUAAUUUUUCUUAUUACAUCUAAAAGUUUUGGGAUUGAAUUCUUGAAUUAUAAUAAAAAAAAAAUUAUGAAGUGCUUUCGUACACAUAACUGGCUCCAAAGCAAUUGUAUCAUUCUCAACUUUUAUCAUCGACAUGAUUUUAAGUGAUGUCAGCAGUGGUUUAAUUUAUUCUAAACUUAAAAUCUCUCAACUUACAUCAUUUUUAUUAUGAUAAUCCAAGAGGUAAUUAAGUAGAUAAAUACAAUACAGUUAUUGUUUUGGUUUAUCUAAUAUCUAUUUAGUAGAUUAAUUCAUAUUCAAUAAAUUAGAUUAGUAAAAUAUAACGAAAUUUUAGUUAAUUAAAUGUACGUUUAUUGAACUAUAAAUGAACUCUAGAAAUUAAUAAAUUAUUAAUUUACUAAUUACAUAAUAAUUCUUUUAAUUAAUAAAAUUUAAAUAGUCCCAAUGUUAUUAAUUCAUAGAAGUUAUAUGAAAUAUGUGUCAACUAUAUAAUAUCGUAGUUUGUAAACAAAACAUAACUCUUUUGUUAAUUGAAUACUAACGUAAUGCUAUAGAAAUAACAUAUGUGACCAAUUUGCAUAAAUGUAUACUCUCUGUAUCUUAUUACAAAUGCUUUAUAAAUCAGUGACUCAGAUGUUAUUAUCUAAACUCGUGGAAGCAUUACUUUUGUCCCUGCCAAUAUCAUUCAGAUAAAUAGUUGUUGUGCGUUCAGAUUCACCAGGAAUGCUUACGCAAAACAUAGACUGAACCCAAGAGCUUCGAAACUCGAAACUGAACCAAAUCAUUCUAAUGGAAGAGAAACGCCGGGAAGCCAGAGCGCAACCGCGGCUACGAGCUCGGCCGCAGCUGGAGCCGAGUCAGCGGCAUCCGAGCCGGCUUCGCUCGGCGCCGAGCCGGAGCGCACAAAAGGAAAGCCUCGGCGCUCUCAGCGACUAACGCUUCAUCCACGCCGUCGAAGCGCAUGACUCGCGAGAAGAAUUUAGUUGCUCACACUCCGAUCUACAACCAUAACGUUACAUCUUGACAUUUGUAGUAAGAACGUGAGAGGAUACCUGGAGUGUAUUGGGAUUUGGGCGGAAGAGAAAGGAGCCCUUGGAAUUGGGAAACAAAUGAAAUUAUCUGCAUGGUCCUUGUACUCGUGGAGGGACUGUAACUUCUGAACCAACAAUGCUGAAAAUGCAGGGUCAAAAAUCAACAUUAACUUGAUGAAUAAUUGUUUGAAAAAAAAAAAAAGCAAGAAAACUUGAUUAAUAUAAAAGAGAGCAAAGGAGCACAACCAUACAGAAGUUGUAUAAAGGAAUAUUAAUCAAGCUUGAUUAAUAUUCUUCUUCUAUCCAACACCACAAGAUGAAACACAGUAUUCCUGUUGCAGUAUAUGGUGAGAACUGUGAAGUGCAGGAAGUAGUUUCCUAAGAGAGAUGAUUGAAUGCUCUUAAUUUUUUUUUUCAGAAAAUCAUUUUAUUUUUAAUAAAAGUUUAAUUUUUUUUAAUAAAAAUUUUUAUUUAUUUUUUAUUAAGUUGUGUCUCAUAUUUACUAAUAAAGGAAGUUAUUUGGGUAUAUAAGUAGGAUGUCUCAUCUAACAUGCUAGUAGGAUAAAUCUCUCAUCUAAUAUGCUAGUAUUUUGGGUUAAAUACCUAUAAAUUCUAAGCCGAGUCCACAACAGUCCCCAAAAUAACUGGAUUUAAGUCCUAGCUACACCAGUAGAUUGAAUAGAAGUGCAAAUAAGUUUAACUUUUUUGUCAUUCAUUUUAGUCUUUUUUUUUUUUUUUUUCACAUACAUUGAAAAAGGAUAACUCUGUCGUGAUUGCCAUGGCAGAGCCUAUUUCAAACGAUGGUGUAUGCUAAAGGAAAUUAUCAUGAGAUGAGUGAUAAACCAUACAAUCAGUAGCUACAGCCCACGAUUAAUCAGCCACAUGGCCACAAAUAUUAUUGGCGGCAAAUAUAUCAACAAAAUCACAAUAAAGAUGAGCAUCCUCGAUUCCAUUCCUUAAUGUAAAUAGGACAGCCUGUCUAGCCAUUACUUUAAGAGAUUUGGCUGGCUUUGACACUUGUAUAUAAGCUUGUAACCCUCUCAUUCUUUACAAGAAAUAAGAUAAUAUUUUCAGCUUAAUAAUUCUUUUCAGUGAGAUCAAAGAAAUGUAAAGAGAUAUAGUCACUACUACAAAAAUGUAAAACAAUGACCCAUAUGUUAUGACGGUUCUUCUAAACAACCGUCAUUAAAGAUAUUUAAUGACGGUUAUUAUGUGAACAGUCAUAAUAUAUACCACUUAUAAUGACGGUUAUGUAAUAAAACCGUCAUUAAAUGUCAAAUAAAAUUUACACUUAGUUUUAAUGACGGUUCAUUUAUAAAAACCGUCAUUAAAAGUCACUAUUUUUAAUGACGGUUCUUAUAUACAACGGUCAUUAUAUGUGUAGUUAAAAAUAAUAUUACUUUUAAUGACGGUUUUUUAAUAACCGUCAUUAAAAAUAAUAAUUUUUAAUCACGGUUUUUACAUAUAACGGUCAUUAUAUGUGUAAUUAAAAUAGUACUACCUUUAAUGACGGUUUUUUUAAAACCGUCAUUAAUAAUUUUUAAUGACGAUUUUUACAUUAAACGGUCAUUAUAUGUGUAAUUAAAAUAAUACUACCUUUAAUGACGGUUUUGUUAAGAACCGUCAUUAAAAAUAAAUUUAUUUUUAAUGACGGUUCUUAACAAAACCGUCAUUAAAAAUCAUACUUUUUAAUGACCGUUAUAUAUUAUAACGGUCAUUAUAUAUAUAAUUAAAAUGCUUUUAAUUUUAAUGACGGUUCUUUAAGAACCGUCAUUAAAAAUUGACAUUUUUAGUGACAGUUGUAUAAAACAACCGUCAUCGUAUAUAUUGAUAUAGUUAUAAAAAAAAAAAAAAAUUGGCCUUAUACUGAACACCAAAUCCCUAAAAUUACAGAUAAUUUGUAAACAUUAAAAGUAAUGGCGCAAGCACGCACGCCGCCGGUACACUUAGCCCAUGCAGCAGCAACCGAGCACGGUAGCAACAGGCCACCAGCAGUCGCUCUCUCUCUCACGCACACGCAGCAGCAAGCCAACACCAAUAGCCCCUCUUUCUCAUGCUCACUCUCUACUAUGCCCUCUUACGUACUCAAGAAAACUCUAACCCAUAUCCAAACCCUCGCCGUCGAAGAAAACCCAAUCCUUAAUGGCUUGAAAUUAAAGCCUCCACCGUCAAUCACCAUCGAACCAAAUAAACUCUAGCCUUACCAUCACUCUUCGUUUGACUCGCUGAAGAAAGCACUCUAUUAGGUGAGUCUCUGUUGUUUGAUAAUAUAUCUGCACUCUUUGUUGGCCGAAGCUUUUAGACAAUUGCUUUGAUUCAAUUGCUUCGAUUGGUUAGUUCUCUGUGAUUAAUUAGUUAGUUACUUUUAAUUUCAUAUUUUCAUCUCUAACAGUGAAUUUGGGAGUCGAUUUCUCUGUCGGAUUUGUAAUUUUUGCUACAGAUCAAAAACAUCUUGAAGGUGUUUUCAUAUCUAACAACUUGAACUAUCAUUUAUUUUGUCUUGUUAAUGUUCAAUUUUUUUUUCUUUUUUUAUUAGUAUGACAAUUAGUCGAAUGUGCUUGCACAUAAAACAAUCUUUUAACUUGGCGUUGGAAUAUUUGUUUUGAGUUGUGUCCCCUUAAUCAAUGACCAUACAAAAGUUCCCCAUGAUAAAGUGUUUAGCCCUAUUAAUGCCAUAAAGUCUUGCUCUCAAUUUUUCUGAUUAUGCCUAUGGAUUGAUUACCUAUUUCAUUUACAAAUUCAAUUGGCAAAUGUACAAUGCCUGCAUGACACUCACAUUUGGGUUAUGAUGGUAGUCAUUAUGAGGAAGAAUGUUAGAAUAACAUCAGGGGAAACAUCUGGGAGAAGGUAUGUACUGUCAAGCUCUUUGUUAGAAUCAUCACGAAAUUUAUAUUGGAUCUUGGCUGUUCUAUGUGAUGCAUUUUGGAUUUGCUCUUACUAGACAUGCAAAAACCUGUAAAAUGUAUUUUUUUUUUCCAUUUUAGAUUUACUAUCUAGUAUCUUGUAGGUUUAAUCUAAAAUAGAAACCAUUGAGGAUACUGGACACAAUUCUAAUGAAGAGAAAAGAUGUUAGACUUUAGUAUUCAACCUUUUUUUUUUAGCCAUAUUUCUAGACCCCAAGUUUAUGUCAUGAUAAUUGUGUGAUUGAUAAGAUAUUUUGGUUUUGGACUUUAUCUCAUGGAUUUAGAGUUCGAUUAUAUUUGGAAGUGGAAUAAUGCAUUCAUUUACAUAUGAUGUUUGAUGAAGUUCCCAUAAAAUUAAUUCAAUUAUAUAUGUUUAUGGUUCUAAGGAAGCGGGGCAAAAAUUUUAUCAGUGGGUUGAUUUCACUAGUUUAAGUUAGUAAAGCAAAGAAAUUGUCUUUAUGCACUUUAACUUUCCUCCAUUUAAGGUGAAAAAAUUAUUGAAGCUUUUAGAAGUGAAUUGUUCAUUUUGUUUGUGCACUUAUGCAGAUGGAUUUACUUUUGGCUGCUUAACCCUUCCUCACUUAUAUUUUUUCAGUUUAAAUUGCAGUGUUUUGCUGCUGUGCAACAGCACAAGAGGCUGUUUUAUUGUUGUUUCUGUAAAAACACAGCACCAGGAAGCGUCCAGGUAAUGUUUCGCUGCUGUUAUGCAGUAAAAACAACACCUGAAAGUUUCUAGGUGCUAUUUUUACUGCUGUUUACGCAGAAACACAGCACCUAAAAGUGUCUCUAGGUUCUGUUUAGCUGCUAUUAUGCAGCAAAAACAGCACCUGGAAACUUCCAAGUGCUGUUUUUAUUGCAUUUUAUGCAGAAACAAAGCACCUAGAAGCAUUCAAGGGUUGCUUUACUGUUGUUUUGUAUUUAAAAUUGCUGUUAGAAAUUUUGGGUGCUAUUUCUCUGAAAUUUUGCUAUUAACAGUGCAGCUUAAUAAUUUCAUAUGUCGUUUUGAACCUUCUUCAGUUCUUUUCUCUUAUGUCUAUACUUAAUCUUUUCCCCCCUGGUAAUAAGCAGGUACAAUUUUUGCAAGGUAAUAUCUAAGCAUGCUGUUAAUUCUUUGGUUGAGACGUAGUAUUCUAAACUUCAGGCCUUAAUUUUUUUAUUUCCAAGUGUAUAAUGGGUAGGUACUGGAUCUCUUAUGGAUGAUGUAGUUAAUGCUUUUUUAUUGUCUCUAUUUUGGCAAAUGUGUUGUCAUUUAUUAUCUGAACACAUGGUUGAUUAACUUACUUGAGGUAAGUCUAUUAAUUAAUAGUGAUAUGAUACUUUAAAGUCUUGUUUUACAACUUAAGUCACUAAAAUGAUUUAAUAUUUAUGAUUUAUAAUAUAUGAAUAUAUCUUAAUUUCUCUUUAUUCUUUGUAAGAAUGAUGUAGAUUGCUGAAGCUGGUGAGAUUCAUUUGCAAUUGAAGACUUGAUGAGAAAUUAGAUGUACUCACACAUGCCAAUCUUGUUGGUUGCUAGUGCAUUCACUAGUAGAAGUUUAAUGAUUGUUGGAGAUUUUUGUAGAGCUAUCUCUUUGUAAAUGAAACAUUUGCAUCAUUUUGAAUAUGAAACAUUUGUGAAAAAUAAUUGUAAAGAAUUUAAUAUGAAAUUAGAAUUAAAAUAGGGGCUUGAAAUAGCCUUAAAUUUGCCAAAUUUAUUUUUUUAAUAAUAAAUAACAAAGAUGACGGUUAUUUCAAAAGAACCGUCAUCAAAUGUAGUGUUCUAUAACAAAUAUGACGGUUUUCUUCUAAAACCGUCAUUAAAUGUUGUUUCAAUAUUUAAUGACGGUUCUUACAAUAAACCGUCAUUAAAAUGACACAUUUAAUGACGAUUAUUUAGAUAAACCGUCAUUAAAGAUAGAUAUUUAAUGACGGUUCUUACAAUAAACCGUCAUUAAAAUGACACAUUUAAUGACGGUUAUUUAAAUAACCGUAAUUAAAAAUAUACAUUUAAUGACGGUUAGUGAACCGUCAUAAAAAACAUACCCUCUUUAAUGUCGGUGCCUAAGAUGACGGUUUUAAAACCGUCAUCUUAUGUCGUUUAAAACCGUCAUAAAAGACCAAUUUUGUAGUAGUGAGUCUAUUAGGUUGGCAAAUCUACUGAAACAAUAUUGUUUCCUAUCAACUCCGAAAUACAACCAAUUGAACAACGUUCAGAAAUCGAAAAUCAUUUAUUACCAGUAAGAUUUAUUAUUAUACGCUAUACAUAUGGCUUUAACAGUCACAUUACCAAUACAUUUUUAAUCAUGGUAGGUAGGUGCUGGAAUGUAUACAAUAUUAUCAGCCUGGAAGAAAUGGCAGACAUGGGAGCUCCCUGGCUCGAUCCCAAGCACACGAAACGAUGCAUGAUCUCGACUCCAAUGAGACGUAUCCAUGUGGCAAACUGCUACAGCUUCCACUCUAUCUCCAUUAUCACCACCUAAUGAAACACCGAAUAACUUGUUCUCAGUCAUUUGGCUGUGGCAGUAGAAGAUUGCAUAAGGGUAAGGCAUGAUAUGACAUGCCACCAUCUUGGGAGCAACCAUUGGUUUAGGCACUUGUAAAAUAGUGUAAUUUUGGAAAAUGGUAGCUGAUUUUGUGAGAAAUUUUGUGCUUAGAACUUCGAAUUUGGUCUCCAAUCCGAAAGUUCCGUGUACAAAAUCAAGCAUGGAUUCCAAAGAGGUAGCACAAAUUUUGGUUUCUCCUUCGAUGGGAGGAACUUCGCAAUGAUUCAGGGUCCCUUCCAUGGCUUUGGCUAGGGGUGAGUCAUCUGAGAACGAGAAGAAUUGAAGAAGGUAAGGCAGUUGUUUCAAUGAAAAUGGAAUGGAAUCUGCUUCUUCUCUAGGCAAAGCCUGAGGAUAAGCUGAAGGAUCUCUCUUGCGAAAAAUAAAUCGGCAUCGUUUCGCCAAUCUUUAGAUCCUUCAAG
rnacentral:lncRNA from 1 species